AAGAAAUAAGGAUUAAUCGCAUAUUAUUGCAUAAUGAACUUCAUGGAUAACUGUGAAGAAAUAUGAGCGUGGCUUCAGAGGCAACUUAAUGCCAAUUUGUUACUGACUUACUGAGAAAACAUGAUUUAUAGCAGAGUACUGUAUACUCUGUGUAACUAUCUAAUGGAACUAUGAUUAAAGAAAGAUGUUAGUUGAAAAUCCCAGUCUUUAAGUCUGUUACUUCUGUGAUGAAAUAAUACCAAAGAACUGGAGAAGGAUUCAAAAUUUAACUAUCUUGGCCAUUCUGCUGAGGGACUGGCCUAGUAACCCUUAUUGGAGAAUGGAGAACGAAAAAAGGGUGAUAGAAAAGGCUUUUUAGUAAUAUGUGGUAGCAUUUUUUUUUUCCUUUUUUUGAGUAAAAUAAGAAUAUCAUUUCAAGAAAAACACUGUUUAGCAGAGUGGUUGAAGAAAAUGAUGCAGUACUAACUUAAUAACAGUUAAGUUAAUACGUACGUAGUAUGCAGUAACAGUGCCAGCAGAGUUGCCAGCAACAAGUUUAAGCUGCAUAUCAAUUCUUCCAAACAGAUACUCUCUCUUGGAUUGGAAACCAGAGCCAGAUUCCCUGUCCAAAGACAAGGAAAGCAGCUGCCCUCUAUUGAAAAUCUUUGCUUUAUUACCACCCCAUGUAAGAUCAAAAUCUUGGUAGAAAUUGCCACCAUAUGCAACCAUGCAUGAGCUUAAAAACACUAGGACUCCAAUAUGAGAAAAAGCCAUUUUGUUAAUGGGACUUUGUCACAAAUAUGAGACUACUACUUUUUGUGACUAAAACCUUUGAACUUGGGGUGUAUAUAUAGGGGUUUAGGAGGGUUCUAUAUAGCUAUUAUUAAAUAGGGUAGCAAAAUGCUUGUGAUCAAUGAGGGAGCUAGAGAUGGGGGCACUGAAGGAGGGGUGGCCUAGCUAAAGGCUGGUGCCAGCUGAGCAGCAUGAAAGCUGGAAGGUUUUGUUUUGUUUGGGGGAUUGGUGGUGGGUUCAGGAGUUUUGGUGUUUAGUUAAGAAGGCUUGAGAUGGAGCUUCCAAGAAUGAUUCUGUCCUAUGAGAGAUGCAAUGCAUGGGUAUGGCCCUCCUUUAGGUAUUGAUUAUUGGACCAUUCAGUGGAUGCCAACCAGAUUGUGUACUUGCUGACAAGUAUAAUGAGCCAAAAGAGAUUGGUGCAAUGAACAAAAUGUGUUCUUUAUCCACUUCAAUUUUUUCUUUUUUUCUAUUUGCCAAGAUUGAACCAUUUUCAACUGAGAAAUUUUGAAUCAAUGGAACGCUGGAGAUGUUUCAAAGUAACUGUAAAUACCAUCAAGAAAAGUUUGACGAAAAAUUGAAUUCAAUAGUACCAUCAAGAAAUGAAAGUGCUCAAAAUAGGAUGAAAUUGGUAUCCUCCACCAGUAAAUUACUUGCACGCUGAAAGUUGAUUAACACUUAGAUAAUGCCUAACUUGCAACUAUAGUAGGUUCAAUGUCAAUGAAAUCUGUCAAAAAGAACUAUUUGUGAACUGUGCAUGUCCAUGAAUGAAGUACCAAUCCCUCUCAAGUCUCAAACUUAUCCUUAGGAUGUGUUACAUUAUUGGUCUUCUGUCAUUGUUUAGUUCAAAAUUUUUACGUGAUGUACAAGCUUUUAUGGCCAAGGUCACUUCAACAAGGCCAGCCAGCUAAGAGCUAACACUCAAUUUGACUCUUUUCAAUAAAGUUCACUUUCCUGAAAAGGAGGCUUGGGUAUGAGGCCAUAAUCCAUUCAAAUCUCAAAACCCUAAAACUAUGGGAUGGGAAGUCUUGUUGUUUUGUUUGUAACAGUUUGUACUAUUUCUAGCAAUUUCAUGCUUGCAAAAUUUGUUGUUCAAUGAACAAUUAUAGAACGCAUCAUGCAAAAUAGGGAAAUGAAGCAUCCUUUUUUAUAUUGAAGGGAACUGUAAUUAUUAUCUGAGAGUGUGCACUGAAUAAAUCUCAUUCCAUAUAAUAAUCCACCAGUUACACGAAAUGGUAAGACAUAUUAGGCAAACCUUCUUGUGCGACAAGCAGAAAAAUAGGCAUCCUUACCUAAACAGUUAAAUAUUCUAUCUAUCUAAUAGUAUUGUGUUUCUUCCUCCUUUUAGCUUGAUGGUCUUUCUACCUAAAAUAGAGACGCCCUCCCAAUGAAAUGAUUUUGCUUAUGGGGAUAUUUGAAUUAAGUACUAUAAAGAUGCUCUCUUAGCGGUGCUAGAAUUUCAUGGUUCAAAAGUGGUAAAGCUGGGAAACCCAGGACAUUUUCUCCCAAAGAAAGUGAAUAUCCAGCUGGUGAUAAGCCGCGGAACCACAUAAAUAAUUUCACAAGUUGAAUCUACAGGAAUAAAAUGCUCAAGAAAAGGAUGUUGCUUUGAAAUUUACAGCUGCCCGGCCGGUCAUCAUCACGGGUCACUCUUCAGUCAUGAGAAUUCUUGCAUCUUGAGUUCAUGGAUCCUGAUAUUCCCCACUUGUAAUUUAUUCUCCCUGUGAUUGCAUUGGUUGCGUAGAGAUUACAUUUUUAAUCAAGUUGGCAAGUGGUUUAGAACUUUAGAUGUUUCAAAAGCAAAAUUGUGUGAAUUUUCAAUAGUUUUUAACGGAAUGAUGUUGAGUUCUUGGUGUACUUUUUAAAGCCUAUAAGUAUCAUGUACCAUAAGGUCGUGUUUGAUAACCUAAUUCAACAUUUAAUGAAUUCAGAUCUUAAUAUGUUCAGACACGUUUAAUAAUCUGAAUUAAUUAUGUGUCACUGAAUUUUCUGAAUAAAACUUGCUCCCAAAAAUAAGUGGUGGGCUAUUCACUUGUUCCUUAAUUUGAUAUGCACUCAAACGUAUCUGACUUAGUAAUUAACAAUUCAAUAACUCAAUCGAUUUAGAUUUCAGUUUUCAGUUUUUAAACUUCAAUUUUAUCAAAUGUUGAACUUAAAAUUAUGUAUCAUCAUCUAGACCUACUAGUAUACCCCAAAAAAAUCUUUACCCUGACCAUAUAGAAAAGAUUGUAUCAACUUAUAUGUGACACUACAAACACACCAAUCUUAUAAAGGAUUCAAUUAUGAUUUCCUUAAUUUCUUUUUGUAGAACACAUUAGAAUUUCAUUAAUGAAAUCUUCACUAAUGGCCAGAAUACCCCAGACAUAUACAGGUUUUACAUAUUUGAAAAAUUAAUAAAAAUUUUCUUAGUUAGUAUACAAUCACGAUUUCCUUAAUAAGUUAGUAAUCAAUUGUCGGUGAUAUCAUUAUUUUAGAAAAAGAAGAGGGAUCUAACUAACAAUUAGAAUAAAAACAUAAUUUGCUAAUGGAUCUAUUGAAAGAAGACAUUUCACAAAAGUUUCAAUCAAGUUUAACUAAUUUUCACCCUCAAAGAAAAAAAAACGUAAUAAAUUCUGCAGAUUCUACCUGUCAUUCAAUAUAGCAUACUUUACAGGCUGACAACUUUCAUGACAUUUUUGUUUUACAAACGAAAGUGUUCCAUCCACUAACACACACAAAAAAAAAUGUGUAGUUAAAUGAUCCCAUAGUUGGAUACAGUAUCUAACUGAUAAUAAACUAAAGCUUAAUCAAGUACUUUUACUUUUCCAGAAUUAGUACAUUCACUUAUCAUCCACAAACAAUUAAAUGGAGUUUUCCAAAUAAAAAUUUCAAAUUUGAUUAUAUGCAGAGGGAUUUGUGAUAAAAAUAUGGUGAAAGAAGCAUAUUACCAACUCAAUAGUUCAUCUCAUGAUAUACUAAUUUGUAGGUUUAAUUUUUUUUAGUAGUUUAAUUUUUUUUUGCAUGAAAUUAAAUAUGUUGAGAACAAAUUUUACCAAGUUCAAUAAUCUUUUCUUGAGUUCUUUUCCUUCUUCUUUUGAAACACCUUGUCCCAAGAAUAUAUGCUUUUCAUUUGUACACCUCGUGACAAGAAGUUAUCCAAAUUAACACAUGCACACAAAUAAGCUAUACCAAGGCUAUUGUUUAGAAUCAUCUAACUCAAAAUUCAUGUGUAUUCAACUUCUUAUAGCUUUUGGAGCAUCAGGUUAUUCACUUAUCAUGAAAAAAGAAAUACAUAAUUGUAGUUUAAUUUGACUAUAUAUAUAUACAAAAGCCAUCAAAUUUGAGGUUAAUAUGUGAGUGUUAUGCUUUUGAGUUCUCAAUUUUUCAUUUUCUUUCUUUUGUACAAGAAGGGGAAUGUUUAAUCAUUUAUGUCAUCAUUUAUCAACUUAACCAACCAAUACCUUUGUCUAUUAGUGGUUACAAAAGCUAAUCCCUCCAAUAAUUCAUCUCAUCUGCAUAGGUUUCUAGCUAUAUGGCUUCCUUUGUUUUCUUCAUUUAGUACAAGAAGGAGAAUGUUUUAUCAAUUUUGGUAUCAAUUAUCAUCUUGACCAACCAAUUAAUAUCUUUGUAUAUUAGUUGUUGCAAAAGCUAACCCCUCCAAUAAUUCAUCUCAUCUGCAUAGGUUUCUAGCUAUAUACAAACGUUAGAAGUAAAAUCCAACAAACAAUUCAUUGACUUAAGGGCUCCCCAAUUGAAAUAAUUAAAAAUAUUUCAAUUUUCAAUUCGAGGCUAGGGGCAUCUGAAGUAAGAAAAGUGAACCUAGACCCCCCAAAAAAAAAAAAAAAUUAGACCAAUAGUAGGAAAGUGGACCAAGAUAGUAGUAUGUUCAUCACCGAAGACCUAACUAGUGUGAGGCUCAAAACCCACCGCCGUCAGCGUGAAAGGGUCCACUUUGAUUCAUUUGUUUGAAUUAUGAUCAUCUACAUAGUUAAUGCAUGAGCAACCCGUGAUAGAAAUGAUAAAGAAGUGAGAGUUCUUGAAUUCUAAUCUUACAAAUUUGAAUCUAUUUUAAUUUUAUGUUGAUAUUUAUUUAUCAUUUCUUGGUUGGUUGUAAUUAUGUCGAGUUGUAGUAUAUUGAUUGUUGAUUUUGAUUCACCAUCAAACGUAACUUGUUCUCUGAUUUUAAAUAGAAAAAGAAAGAAUUACACGAUUGAUUGUAAUGUUGUUGAGUUGCAGUACACUGAUAUUGAUCCCACCAUUAUAUGUUACUUGUUAUCUGAUCUUAAUAACAAAAAAGAAAAAUAAGGGAGGAGGCGGGGGAGGGCCGGAGGUAUUCGUUAACGAUAAGAUGAGCAGAAAUAAUGAACUUUAAUUUUCAAGUUCUUUAUUUUUUUUUUUUUUUUGUGAACCUUCAAUUUUGAAUUAUUUCUAACCUAUUCACGGGGUCUACAUUCAAUCAUGAGAAUAGACCUACAAACUAACGAAGUUGAAGGUAGAUAUAGACAUAAGUAGUGGUACUACAUUAUUAGAUGUUGACGAGAAAAUUUUAUUGUGAAACAAUUUGGUGCACAUCACAAGUAGAUAUACUUUGUGCAAGAAAUGGACACCGGACUUUUGCGCACUUUAGAACGCUUUUUUUUUUUUUUUUUUUCCAACAACGAUAAUAUUUGUAUAAUCUAAUAUAUCCUAGGGGAAUCUAAAGAGGAUGUGAAAGAAAUUAGCAAGUAUACAGAUCUGACUAGAUCAAAGGGGUGCUCGGACAUAUCUUUUGAAUUUUUUUUUCAUUGUAGGUGAGGUUCGAAUACCCGAUCUAUAACUCAAAAAGGGACUUAAUCUCUUUUUGGAAUGCUGAUAUACAUCAAAAUUAGUUUCCUAACUUGGGAAGCCACAAGUCCUCUGGUCAUCAAUCCUACAAACAAGUAAUGAGGUAGGGAUAUUGUACAUAGGCUCCAACUAUCUGUUUUGCUUCUGAUGUUUGCAAGUAAUUGAGAACUUCAUUACAUAGACUACAUAGAAUGGAUAAACAUGUCGAAAAACAAGAUGGUAAUAAAACUAAAAAUUCAUUCAAAAUUAAAACUUAGUAAAUUGUUUCCUCUAGGAAAGAAAGAAAAUGCCUGGAUGCCAUUUAUGUUCCAAGAAAUGCUAGACGAUUGUUAGACCCUUGGCCUAAUAUGAUUUAAUGGUUAUGGUUGAAAGUUCAGAAUUUAGAAGUUUUGGAUUUAAAUUCCUCUUAUCUUAUCUCCUCGGUACUUAUUAAAUUUCACCAUUCUUCUCCUAAAAAUAAAACAAGGAAAGAAAAAGACGGACAAGUAUUCCAAGUUCAUCGUUACUACAUGUAUAAGAUAAUUCAUUAAUAUAGUGCGUGCAUUAUUACCUAAAACGAUAAUGGUUGUAUGAGAAGAGCUAUGUGCCUAUGGCUAAAGAGAAUCUGUGUAGUACAUCGGCAUGGUCACAGGAGCAUUAAUUUAUAUCUAAUUAGUAUGGCCAGAGUUUGGUGAAAAGAAUUUUUCCUCACGAGAGAUUGAUCAAAGUUGAUAGCAACCUUAGCUUGAAAAAUUUUAGAGGGUCCCAAUCAUAUUGAUGAGAGAAUAAUAUCUUCAAGAAAAUAUUUGAUUCGACCCAAGACUAUUAUAUUUUUCCCAAAAUGGGCAAUUUACAACAGAAAGAGACUAUAAAAAUGAAGAUGAUUUCAGUUGGCAAAAGUGCUCUUCACUUGAAUCCAAAAAUUGGUUGACAUCUGCAGUUUUCAAUAAAUUAUUUUUGAAAAAUUUUACAACCGUAUUUACUAACAAUCUUUUAUCUCACAUUUAUGAUAUCUACUUUAAAAAGUGCUACAGAAAUAUCUUCUUAAAAUUUCUCCACGUUGAAAAUGAAAUUGAAACAAAUUUUGGGUCCUAAAUUAUUUUUUACCUGUCGAACUUGAGAUAAAAUAAUAGCCCUAGGAAUCAAAGGUCUUGGAUGUCUUUCUCCCUACUUCUUAAAUCACAUCCAUUCCCUAUUAUUAAAAAAAAAAAUUAAAAGAAGAAGAUAAAAUAAUACCUAUUUUCUUCAAAAUUUGUCACUGCACAAGAAAAGAAUAACUUUUGGGUUCUAUUUCCAUCUAAUUCGAGUUCUAAAUUAUGAGCCCUUUUGGUAGAUGAGUUUUUUAAGUGAUUUUCUUAGCUAAAUAAUUUGGUGAUUAUAUAUGUUCACAAUCAUUGCUUAUCCCAAGAAUCUCAUAAUUGUAAAAUAUACUAACUAGCAUAAAAUUAGUGAAUCUCAAAGCCAUACAAUUAGGUGUAGGUUAAUGACAAACCGGCCUUCACCCAAUGAGAAAAGCUUCAAACCAUUUUCUAGUAAAUAAAUUUUCUUGUGGGUACCUAAGGGAGCAAAUGAAAAUUGAAAAAUUAGGAUGUGGGUAGUUCUUCUUUUAGAAAGUUGAGUCAGGUUCAGUGUUUUUUUUAACAAGAAUCUAGGAAAAAGUCAAAUCUUAAAUCAUGUAAUAAGAAUAUUCCUGAAGAAUUUUAACAAAAGAACUUCGAAUCAUUUGUACCCGCAUGUAUACUGACUAUUUUCUUUUUUUAUUUUUUGUGGGAGGGAAAAUAAAAAGCAAGAAGGCAGAAGAAUAAGGAUAUUUUUCUAGUCUUCAUUUUGUCGAUUUUCAUCUCUAAACGGGCGUGUUCUUGCUUGCCUUGACGUUUAUAAAAUUUGACGAGAAAAUUUUUUUUUUUGUUUUCUUUAAGGGAUAAUUUCAGAAAUCUCUCUGAACGUUUUUCAUAAUAUCGCUUAGUACCUCUUAGGUUCCAUUGGUACUUUAUCUUUGUUGAUUGAGUGUUCGAUGACUUAGUAAACUUGCAAUCUUUGACCCUAUGAAGCACAAUUUUAUUGUCCCUCCUGAGAGGUUCCAAGUACAAGUUCUUUUGUCCAUUCGUGUUUGGAUUGCAUUUUCCAUGAUUUUUCAUGGAAAAAUUACUGUAGCGAUUUGAUGUAUGUGAGGAAAAAAUGUAACAGGGAAAUGUGAUCACGGAAAACAAUGUAAUUUUUCGACGAAAAGCCGCAAUCCAAACAAGUUUUUCCAUAUACUGCCCAUGAUGUUAUGAAUUCUUCCAUUUCAUUUUCCAAACAAAAAAUCUAUUGAGAUUCUUAUUGCUAUGUGUUUUAGUUUUAGUUUGUUUCACUCUUAUUUUGAUUCCUAUGACAAAUGCUUUGAUUUUCUUGUAACUAAGGCUACAAACGAAUCGAACUCGAAUUUAAAAAUACUAAAUUCGUUAACUCGCGAACCAACUCGAACUCAAAUAUAUAUUUUUUAUUUUUUAUUUUAAUAAUAAAAUUACAUAUAUAUUCCUAAUAUUUUAUUUUUUAUUAAAAAAUUAUUAUUUUAUUCAUUUUUUAAAAAUAAAAUUUUAAUUUUUUAUUUUUUUAAGCUCAAGCUUGAGCUUGACAUUUUGAGCUCGUUGAAAUCGAGCUCGAGUUUGAGUUUCGUAAAAUUAUGUUAAGGCUCGGCUUAAUUAGGCCGAAUCUCAACUCGACUCGUUUGCACCCUUACUUGUAAUCAAAAAAACUGAGAACAAGGUAUCAUCAUCAUCACAAGACACAACGGCCAUGCAUGUAAUUCAACUUUCCAAUUGGUCCUUCCGAUUAGGGUAUCUGUUAAGUGAUCCCUCUGGCCAUUAGUACAUUUUUCUUCUGCCCCUUCAUAUGUCACAGUGUUUUUUCUAUUGCAGUCUCACCUCCCAACCCUCUAAGAGGAAGCAAAUUUAUGUAUAGCUCCAUGAGUUCAAAAUUAGUAACCAGGAAAGGGAAAAUCACUAUUAUUCCAUUAAACUUCAUAUGUGAUAUUAUACCAUGAGCUAAUUUACAUCUACCCACGUUGAACUGUUAACAGUGUCAAAUUACAACAUCAUCUUCUCUUCUGACAAUCACAUCUCUAAGAAUCAAAUUACCACCCAAAUACAGAUCAUCAAGGCCUCAAGGAUGUCAAAAGAGAUACCAAGGCAAGGACAAGGGAGUUGCACUGGAACAUAACUACGGGAACACCACAGAGGCUGAUAAAGCAUAACUAACUGAAACUAUGGCAUACCAACCCUGUUGCCACUUGGGUGAUCCAUUGAGAGUUGAAACAGGUACUGAUGACCUCCACAGGUACCAUUUGCAGCUUGCCUAUCGACGGGAUUGACCAGUAGCAACAUCAAAACCAGGAGGUAUGAAAACAACAUCAUCCCACUUCGAAGAUGAGUCAUCCUGCAUUAUUGAUUUAUGUGUUAACUCAAAUUUCUGUUCAUGAAAUCCAAAGAAAAAAUGCUGAAAUACAGGUAACAAUAAGCAGAAGUCAGAAUAUAUUAGCAAACCCUUGAGGGUGAAACAUUCAACUUCGGAGUAUACCGACAAGAUUUUCUUACCUUCAUCCCUCGUAUUAUAUCUUCAAAAACAGCAACCUACAAGAUCAAGUCAAAAGUUGGUAUCUUGAAGCAUGGACAUGUCUAAAGUUUUGACAUAGAAUGGACACUACUAUCUAAUGCAAAAUUGGUAAUAUUUUAGGUGAUUGUUUACAUAUACAGACACCAAACUUAGAGACGCUCAAGUACUCUUAUACUUGCUGAUAAUAGUUGAUGCAUCCAAAAACUUUACCUGAAUUUCUCCCUCUCUAAAAGCAGGAUUCAAUCUCUCAUAACGAGUUGCACAAUUCAGGGAUUUUAUCAAGUCCUCCUACACAAUAGCAAAGAAGGGGAAAAAGCCACAGUCAUACAGAAUGGAAGAAUGACACUGGGCAUCCAAAUGAUAAAUUUAACUAACAGCUAACCUUCCUAAAAAAGACAGGGCGAUAUCUCUUGUCUUGGGUCCUCAGAAUCAAGCUUUUUGACUGUAAACCACCACAUUUUAGAGAAGUUAAAAUCAUUCACACCACAUAUUGAUGAGCAGACUGAGAAUUGCCUACAAUUAUAGACCAUAUUUUAACCAUUAGUAGUUUACGAGCAGCAUGGGAUCAGUCGAACAAGUCUUGUUAAUACCACCGGAGCAAAUCUUUCAAGCACACGUCUGUCAUCUAUAUUGCUGUCAUCAUACAUUAGUAAAGAACAUAUAUGCACGAGUUCAACAGAUCCUAACCAAAGCAAAGUGCUUAACGGUGAGUCCAGAAACAAUAUCUCAUCGUUCAUCCUUGUUUUCAAGGUUUGAGAAUUUCCUAAUUGGAGAGUUUAACCAAAAAAAAAGACAAUGCCAACAGCAUUCCAGAAGAAAAAAACAUAUCAACCAAGAAAUAUGAACAAUCAUUAAACUUGACAAUACGCAAAACCAUCUUAAAUUGAAUUUCCAUCAUGAAUCAUCAUUACUGCCCAAUCCAGAACCCUUUGUUUUCAGGUUUCUUGCUAAAUGGACAAAUUCUUCUAAUUUAACAACUUAUCAACCAAUUAAUAUUUUCUCCUUGAGAACACAUCAAAAACUCCAAUUCACAUGCUAACACUAUGAUUGUAGCACUAAGAAGGAAAAUCAGUUGAGACAAAAAUUAACUCGAACCAAUAGAUGCUGCCACCCAAACUUUCCGGCUUUUAAAUAAAUAAAAAUAAAAAUAAAUGAAUUAAGAGAGAGAGGUACUGCUGUUGUGGGGAGAAAAAGAAAAAAAGUGUCAGUGAGUUUGGGUGCAAGUAAGAGCCAGAAAAGUGGGAAAGAAAAUUAUCUAUUACUACAAAGGGUUAAACCUGGAAAACUGGAACCCCGAAAAAGCUCUCAUCAUAUGCACCAGACUUCUUCCUUUCCUACAGAUAAAGCAUAAGUGAAAUUAGAUUAAACAUUCCAUACCUCCAGUUAGCAACAGAAUUCGUACGUAAUUAAUUGAUGUGCUGGACGUAGUAUUUGCACUAAACUUAAUUUAGGCCAAAACUAAUGGCCUACAUCCAAGUGUGUGGUUCAAUUUUACUUGGAGGUGCAUAAAAUUAGGGUGCACUUUUGUUCAUGGACUUUUUAAACUCUAGACAUAAGCCGUUCCUCAAUAUCUUAUACAGCAGCAAAGGAAGAAGGCCAACAAUUUACUGACAAUACUUCUUAUAUUCAGAGUUAAUAUUUAUAUAGCACUAAAGGAAGAAGGACAACAAUUUUCCAACUUGCUUUCUCAUAUUCAAAAUUAACAUAGAUAUCACUCAUGUUUCUCAAUUUUAUUUUCAGUUUAUUAAAUUUUUUCAAGUCUCCUGGAUGUAUUACGCAUAAACAAACUCGAAAUAUUUCACCAUUGCUACAGGACAACAACAUAAACUAGAAGAGAGACAAGAUCAGCAUAGAGCCACUCUUGGCAAACCACGCAUGCAUAGAAUUUUACUGUUGUCUCCCACAAAAUUCUAUUGCUGAUUGUUAAUUAACAUCAUAGAAGAUCAAAAAAGAUGCAAGGCACCAUUUAUUGUGAGAAAGCCAAAUUGACCAGAAGGGCUUAUCUCCAGAUAUGCCACCAUUGCUUGUAAAAAGAAAAAGAAAACCAUUUCAUUUUUUUUUUUAAUGGGAGGUCUUGAACCCAGGACCUCCUACUUACAAUUCCCCCCACCUUAUCACCCAACCCAACCCAACCCAACCCUCCCCCUCCCCCCAACCAUUUCAUAUGUACAUUUAAUAAAAAAAAAUGCACGAUUUGGAGUUUCAGCUUUCAACCAAAAUGUGAUGUUUCUGGACCCUUCAUUUUCCAAUGAUAACAUACAACACAAACCACUUGGAAAUUAGACAACACUGCCAUUCUGAAAAAAAGAAACUCAGAAUACAAAUCAUAACUCAACAAUCAAGUUUGACUCAUAUAUACAGUGAAUUUACUGCAAAAUAAAAUAAAAAACAGAAGAAUAACUUUAUUUUUAUUAAAUUCGUUCAUACUGCAAAAUUCUUUACCUUUAUUGCAUUCUGCACUUGAGACGCCUCUGGUAUCAACCUAAAAGCUACCCCAUCAACUUUAAGCUGAAAUACCUGCAACGCAAUUCACUCCAUCAGGCUCCAAUCUCUAGCAUUUCACCACUUGGUUACGAAUAAAAGAAAUGCACUAUCGUGCUCCAAUAAAUAUCCAUCUAAAGAAAACAGCCUAGUCAUCUUUAAAUCAAACAUCCAUCAAACUUUCUCCAAGACCACAUAACAUACCAUUUCAACAGUGUCAAACACCAAGACUUUGAUCAUUGCAUAUUCUAUCAAGAAUCCUAUGAAGCAGAAAAGCUAGUUCGUAUGCUAUCGCCUUAAUUACAUGUAACCAAUUACACUUGUCCUCCAUUAUUCACUAAGUAGGCACAUGAUAAACAACAUCCAACACCAAAACGUUGAUGAUCACCCUGUUUGCCACAAACAUCAAACAUCAUGAAGCUAGUUCUUAUCCAGAUAUACAUGUAUCAUUAGCAAUUUCCUCAUAAUGACUAAAGCAGGCAUAUAAUACACACAACUGAGAAUAAGCAUUCAUCAAAUUAACCAAGUAAGUAUCCAAAAAGACCUAUUUUUACUUAAUUUACGGAUUUUCUUCGGACCUUAUUGAGAGCUACAGCAACAACUUUGGAGCCAUCACGCAUAGAGGGAUCCAUGGACUGCAUCUGGUGAAGAAGGGCUUUAGCAUCAGCUUCAUUGAAGCAGAACAAGCCAAGAUUUCUCCCCGUAUUUUCACCAGAAACCAACACAAAUUCCUCAGAAGAAUUGCUGAGAGCAUAGACAGGGACCCCGGUUAAACGCUCCUCAAUAACCUCUGUACUUAUAGCAAGAUUCCUACUUUUAGCAUCAGAAUUAGUAAUUCCAGUAUCAGAGAAGAAGGAGGAGGAGAAGGAGAUGGGGUUGUACUAUCAGAAACUCUGGCCCAAGAGGGAUUCUUAGGAGAAGAGCCUGCGGUGGUGGGGAGGGGGAAAGGGAAGGGAGAGUGGUGCAGGAAGUUGGAGAAAUGGGAUUGGAAGGAAUUGAACACUUGGUUGAGGUGGUGAAGAGGCGCUGGUGGUGCUGGGGAAUUGGUGACGGUGGGGAGAGGGAAGGGGAGGGGAGAAUGGUGGACGAAGUUGGAGACAUGGGUUUGCAGAGAGGUGAAGGCUUGGUUGAGGAGGUGGAGAGAUGGUGGUGAUGGUGAUGGUGGCAGCGGCGGUGCUGGAGGUGGUGCUGGUGGUGGGGCUUUGGUUUUGAAGAAAUUCAUUGGUUUUUUCCUGGGUAUAUCGGAACUGGGGAUAUGGAAUUUUGAGGGGUUUGAUGAAUUUUGAGGGGUUUGGAAGGGUUUUGGUGUAGAGUGCUGAGGAGUCUGUUGGAAGAGAAGAAUUUUAAGCUUUUGCAAACUGAGAGAAGUUUAUUUUUUCCUUUUGUUUUUUUCCCCAAAAUUUACACAUGGAUUGUUCAGAAAAUAUUGGAAGGAAAGUGUUAGCAUGUGUUUAUUAAUGAUAAGAAAUAUAUUUGGAUAGAAAUUGGAAGAUUCGUUAGAAUUUUUUUUAAUAAUAAUGAAAAUAGUAUGUACGGUAAUGUGUAAUAUAUGUGAAAUAAAAAAAUAAGUAAUAAAAAUUUAAAAUAAAAAAGUAAUUCAAGAACACAUUUAUCAUGUAAUAAGACAAAAUUUUUCCAAAAAAUUGGCAAUCAAGACAAACCUACAUAUUUUAGGGAUAUUAUUUGAUCAAAUUUGUUUGUAUGAAAUUUAUGUUUUCAACUUUCUUUUUUCCUAAAAUCAAAUUCUACUGCUUCUAUAUAAUUCUGUCCAUAUCGAGCUCAUGUUCCUUUGGAAAAAAAAUACUCGUAUCUGCAUCUUUUCCUUUAAAAACAAAAUAUUGGUGUUUCUUUUUUUUCUUUUUUUUUUUAAGAUACUUGUGUUUCUUUGAAAAGUAUAUACUUUGGCUAAUGGGGCAACUUGUUAAGAAGGACCUUGUAGUUUAACUUUUUGCAAAAGUGAUGGUAAUUUUGAGGAAGUGCCUAGUUGUAAUGUGCGCAUUUACAUGAUAAGUGCUAUCAGCAUAAGAUUGGAAGUUAGGAUCCAAAUCUACAAUAAUAUAAUUAACAUGAAUUUUGAAAUUUUAGUAUUUAGUACCAAGGAUGUUGAAGAAUGCAUUAACGAUGGCUAACGAUAUUAUCAAAGUAAAAGGUUUCCCAUUGGAGCGAUUUUCACCUAAUACCUAGAUUAUCCUUGUUAAAGUUAGGACAAACCAGUUGAAGUUUUUAGAGAGUUUAUUUUAUUUAAAUUAAGAAUAACAGAAGGUUUUACAGUUCAUUUUGAAUAUCAUACUCAUAAACGAAAUUCACCGUCGGAUGUUGAAUGAAACAUUAUUAAUCCUUAGAUUAAACAUGGUUAAAUAUUUAAAUUUUAAAUUAUUAUCUUUAGUGAGAAAUACAAGUUGAGGGAAUGGAACAAAAAAAAAACCAUAAAAUUUUCUAGGAACAACUAGCAACUGUGAAGUCCAUCUGAAUUCUGUAUUUGACUUUGAGUAAUUGAGGUGAACUCUGGAGGGUAAUGCUGUCAGUUAAGCAAAUUUGCUCUAGCUCCAUACUGGCAAUUACAGUUUUGCAGCCUAUCAAGAAGUUGGACUGUUUUACCCAUGUAAGCUGGACCACAACAAGAUCUGUAAUCUUCUACUCGGUCUAUUUUUCUCAUUUGGGCUCAUUCUGAAUAUUAAGAUACAGAUUUUGGUCAUGGUCAUAUGAUCACAAACUAUGGAUCCAAUUAUUGCUUUCUCUAGUGGGACUUUUCCAUUUCAUUCUUGAUCUCUAGUUUCAUAAAUCAGUACUGAGAGAAUGCAUGAUGGCAACAAACAAUGUUGAGCAUCGGUCUUAAAAUCCGAUUGUAAAUUGCAUUUUUCCCCAAAAUAUUUAUACGUUUUCUGUGAAUCCAUUUCUCAAUCAGCUUUUCACCAUACAUACAUUAAAUUGCUAUAGUACAUUUUUCUACAAAAACUUCAGAAAAUAGUAAUCUAAACGGCUCUAUAUCUUUAGAAUAAAAUAGCAUUACUGGCCAAAUUUAGUCUUUUUUAUUUUGUACAAGCUUUGUGUUUAACAUAACAAUGUCGUCCAGAAUGCUAAGUGGAAAAACACAAACCCUCAAAUAGGAAAUCAAUAUCUUAGAUAACCAACGGUAAUGUUUAUUAUGUUUGCAAUAUGAUUUCUAAAAAAAUAUUCUAGUUAGUUUAUCCAAAAUAUAAUUGAGAGAACAAAAAUUUGGUAAGUUAUUGCUGUGAAGUACAUGAUAGAAUAAUAGAACAAAAUCAAAGAGCUUUUAGAAGAUAAUGAAAAAUGUUAAUAGAAUCUCUUAUUUGUUAAUGACACUUCUCUUAUACCUUUUUCCACUAUGUGUGGAAUAAAAGAAAUAUUUAAUGAGUUGCAAUAUUUUUAGCCAAUUUACACACUCAGCAGGUCAAAAAGAGUACAAGUCAUAAGGGGAAUGCCUUUAACAUUUCCUAAGAUAAAUUUAUUACUUCUUUUAUAUAUAUAUAUAUAUAUAUAUAUAUAUAUAUAACAAAUUUAUUACUCCUAUAUGUUCUUAUAGCUAAAGCAGAAAUCCCACUUCGUUGCAAGUAUGAAAUAAGUUAGUCUGCAAUACAUUUGUCAAAGAGAAUGCUGCAAUAUUAACCUUUAGCAAUCAUGGCUGAAAAAAGUUUACUCUGAAAAGCUUAUGAACAUAUUUUAGAUCCCGUUUAGGGUUACGGUACUUUUGUACUUUUAGUAAAAAAAACACUAUUAAGUGCUAAAAGUACUUUUGAAACGUUUGAUAAAUAUCAUCCCAUGAAAUCAGGAGUAGAGUUUUUUGUGUUAAAAAUACUUAUAACAAAAACUCAAAUUUAAUGCUUUUAGAAUAUAUUUUGUAUUUUAGAAAAUAAAACAUUAAAUUUAAAAAAUUUAAAUUACAGAUUAUCCAAUAUAACAAGUACUUAUUAAACUAUAUAUCCAAAUAAUAUACAUAAAAGCACUUAAGUAGUUAAUAAAUAAAUUUAUUAGAUAUUUUAUUGGCGAAAUACUUUUCAAUAAAUUACAGCAACCCCAAAUAGGCCCUCAACAAGAGUUGCCAAACACGAAACUAGAAUGCACAAGGGGCUUUGCAUUUGGUUUGUUGGUACAUUUUUGUUACCGCAUGUUAGUACCAUAAUACUUCAGGCAGUUGAAAACGACAAAUGGCUGACCAGAGAGCAACUUUGGUUUGGAGAUUUCAAUAAUUAUUAGUACCAAUUAUACAUGCAUAAUAAUAAUGUAAACAACAUUAAAAUGGUAGUCACAACUACUAAAAUUGGAAAUCCUAUAAUGGAUAUUGUUCACCCAACAAUCUUAUCAAAUCUUUAGAAUUUCUCCAAAUUUCAAUCUUCACCUUACCAAAUUUAGAUAGGGAGAUCUUAGCCUCGAAUUAUCUCCUACAAUUAUUCAUUACAAUUCUCGAGAACCUAUUUAUUUUUCUUGAGGUGAUAAUCAUAUCAAAUCAUGUAGUCCUAUCAAUUUUUUUCAUAUAUAUAAAAAACAAAUUUCAUUACGGGAUGGUUAAAAAUCGUCCAACACAUCAUCAUUCUAAUAGCAAGUUAAACUAUCUCGGACUUGCAAUUCUAGUAGCAUUAUUAAUUUGUCCGGUGCACGAUCAGACAUCCGAAUUCCAAAUUAUACAUUUGUGAGGGCCUUAGCGGUUGGUGACACCAAAAGGAAGCAAUAAAAUGAAGCUUUUCAAACACGUGAUAGCUAUAUACGGUCGGACAAAAGUCGUUGAGUGGGCCUGUGUAAAGUCAUUCCUUGGGCCAUCCUUAAGCUUUUGUUUCUUUCGAUUUUGGCCCUACGCUUUUGCAAUAGCCAAAUGGUGAAAAAGGAAAAAGAAAUUCCCACUAAUUGUUUGUCCAUUCUUUGAGUUAAUAUUAUAUAUACUGAGAGUAUAUAUAUAUUAUUAUGAUUAAAUGUAUGAUGCAUAUGAAAAAUUGAAAUUUAAAUUUAAAUUAAGAUUAUAUAUCAUAUAUUUAACGGUGAAAGUAUAUACCUUAUCAGUGUAUAGAAAAUUAAUUUGUUUUUCUAUUUCAUAAGAUUUUGAAAAGACUUUUUAAAAAGUCUUUUCAAAAUAAAUUUUCCAGUAGAGGAAUGAUGAGAUUUAAGAAGCGCGGAGGAGCCAGGGGCUAUACAUUUGAAUAUUGAAUUGUGAAAUUUAAUGUGAAAUUUUCAAGGUGAUGAAAAUGAUUACUUGCAUGCUGCUAAAAAUGGUUAGAUCAACUUAGAUUACCGUUUUUUUUUAAUCUUUUUCAUUAUGCUUGUAAAGUUUAAUUACUUUCCAUCUAGCUAUCAACUAGAUUUUAUUCAAGUAAUUGCUUGAUCACCUUAUGUUCCCUUCAUAAUGUUGUACUUAGCAAAAUUUGAAGUGAUGUAGAAGAUAAAAAUUGUCUAAACAAUAGCAUUUAGAAUAGAUGUUUCCAUAUUAUAGCAGUAUAAAUGUAAAUCUUCAAUUAAUCUAAAAUUCAUUGAGUAUAUAUAUUUUUAUAUUAAAGAUAGUCUAUAUUUAGUGCAGUAUAAAUAUUUAGUCUAUAUAUAGGUGUUUCCAUAUUAUAGCAGUAUAAAUGCAAAUCUUCAAUAAAUCUAAAAUUCAUUGAGUAUAUAUUUUUUUAUAUUAAAGAUAGUUUAUAUUUAGUGCAGGUGCAUUUCUCUAUCGAGGAAGGGUUAGAUGGGAUGACAAGAUAGGAAAAAUUGUAAAAUACGAAAGCUUGUGUUCAAAGCUCUCACUUAUAGAAAAUAAAAAUAAAAAGUGCAUUUCUCUACUCACACACUUAUAUUCCCAGAAUUAUUGGCAAUAUAUUUAAUGUAUCUCUUAUGUUAAGUUUUCCUUCAAAAAUGUCUGCUUCCAUCAUUACCAAAUGGUGUGGAAAAUACAAGGAUUAUCAGUUCAUAAUUAUCAUCACCAUAAAGAUUAUUCUUUACUAUUUCAUGCUAGCUGUUCUGAAAACAACAAGAAUGUCAUCAUCAAGAAGCUUGAAAAAAAUCAUAGCUUCACAUUUACCAACCCUUAAACAUUGUCUAGUACAACUAAUUUAUUCAUUUAAUGAUUCAUUAACUUUACACAUGUAAGCAUAAUGGUAUACAAGAAUUUUUCUUUUGUUCAUGAAUCUUCAUUUAAAUCAGCAUUUUAUUUUUGAUGGUAAAGUAUUGUCAUUAUCCAUAAACAUGCAAAAAAGUGCCACCAACAAGAAGUUAAAACAAUUCCUAGUGUCACAUUCACUACAUGUCUUCUUGUGUUAAAGAAAUGGAUUAGUUUAUACCUACUUUUAUAUACAAUUCUUCAUAACUUUAUGUUAGUGUAAUGCAAGUACUUUUUGUCUUUUUUAUAAAAUUAGUAGUCUUUUUUAUUCUGCAUCAUAUCUCUGUCCCUUAGAUGCUAAGCCUGUGAUGGACCUGGUUGACCAAGACCUCAAAAUAUAGGGCAUUAAAGGGUUGCUAAAUGGCUUCAGCAGUGACGUAAUUUUGUCACAGUGCACAAAAUUUGUGAAAGAGGACACUUCAAGAAACUUUUUUUGUCCUUAGUGUGAAUUAGUUUAAUAUCUGUGUGUGUCUGUAUUGGAAUUGGUAGUCUAACCUUGUUUGAAUUGCUAUUUUUGGAAUUUUUAUAAAAAAAAUAUACGAUAAUGAUUUGAUUUAUAUCAGAUAAAAAGAUGAUUAAGAAAUAUAUUUAAGAAAAAUGUAGAAGUUUUUUGGAGAAAAAUACUAUCCAAACAAGGCCUAACGAUUGUCACGGUCAGGUAAGGUUAUCAUUCCCUGGAAUUUAAGAAUUAAUGCACCAGCAACAGAUGUGGUAAAUGUUGCUCCCUUGUCCCACUUUGAUAGUCUUGAUUUUUUUUUCACACAAUUUAAGAAAAAAUAGUUAACUUUAUUGGAACAAUCAAUUUAGAUAGCUAUUUUCCUAAAAUACCCUCACAUUAAUUGGAGUAUAACUUUAUGGGAACUUGAAUUGAUGGUAAAAAAAGAAUCAACUCUCAUUAAAUGGGGUAGGUUUAUAGUAACAACAACUUACAUUGAAUAAGGGUAUUUUAGAAAAAUUAAAAUACAACUACAUUCUUCAAUUGGAAAGUGAACUACAAAUUAGGACAGACGAAAAAGGAAAACAGGACAAUCAAAGUGGGAUGGAGGGAGUAUUUGAUAAUUGACAGGUAUGUUAAUGACUUCUUGUAUUCUUGACCAAAAGAUCCAAAAAUAAAAAAUUCUCAAUAUCUUGUGGCCCUUUUUGACAAAAAAAAAAAUCUUGUGGCCCUAUGGUAUUUAAAUUUGUUCUUUUAUUGAAGAAAAGAAAUAAGAAAGAGGGCCAAAGGAAAAAAGAAAAAGAUAACAAGGGAAUUGGUUUUGGUUAUACACUUUGUUAAGAGGAAAUAAGCAAAAUUAUAAGUUAAUUAAUCAUGUGUUAGUCCCAAAUUCUGUUAAGUAGCUGAUCUAAAUUCUUGAUUUUGUUUAAAUUAAAUUAUUAGAAUUAGUUAAGCAAAAAAUUAUACUAGUAAUUUGCACAUGCAUAUGCCAUGUCAAAAAGACAGCUAUAUAAAGAGUGUGAUAAUAUCAAAUGGAUCCAUUUGUUUUGUCUUAAAGUUGUUAAACAUUCAAAGAUUUUUUUGUUCCAUUGUCUUAUUAUGAAUAUUUAAAAGCUUAAUAAAAUUCUUCAUGAAAAAAUUGUAUAAAGUGACUAUCGCUUAUUCAACUUAAUUAUAGCAAUAUAUCUAUCAGAAUUAGUACUAGAAGUAUUUUUGGAACGUAAUAAUUAUUUGAUUAGGUUUGACCCCUAAAAAUAACCACAAUAAUGAGAUUAACUUUGGUUCGUAAAAAUAACUACAGGUUUUUUGGAUAGCAAAUUAUUCCAAAAAAUAUUUCACUUGCAUUAUAAACACAUUUUUCAACCCAUCUUUUUACAUUCCCAGUCACUUUUUUAUCUCACAUACAUCAAAUUACAAAAAAGUGUUACAGUAAUUAUUUCAAAAAUAUUUCAAAUAAUACUCUAUCCAAACAAACCCACAAUUUUCAUAGAAAACAUCAAAACACGUUUGCUUCUCUUCAUUAUUAAAAAAAAAUAUAUAACAACAAAUGAAUCGUUUGCGAGAAAAACAAAAUACUAGAAGAUAAAACAGAAUAAAUAUACAUCGUUCUAUCCUAAAUUAGAGCUAAAUUCAUAUCUUUCCAUCUUAAAUCCGUUAAUUUCUAUGGUAUGAACAACUCAAGGUACAGGAUAGGGGCAAGAGUGUCUAGAAACAUACAGUUGCCACGUGCAAAUUUCCUAUUGGCAUUUUAUCAUGGACUAUUCCGCAGUCCACCUUUGUUGAAUUUGUUUCUAUUUUAUUUUUUCCUUCUUCUUUUUAUCUUUUUUUCCCUCUAUUUUCCUUCUGGAUAUUUUCUCAAAAGAAUUUUAUUACCUAAUAUAAAACAAAAAAAAAAGAUAAAUAAAGAAAUGGAAAUAGUGAGUGGUAACUGAUUGAUAAUACUCACAUGCUAUCCCUUCUUUCUUUCAUCACCUGUCUUUCUUACACUCUCACUCUCUCCCCGUCUCUCUCUCUCAAGGUCCUGAUACAUUCCACCAGUCUUCCACAGAACACACACACACACUCACACGCACACACACAGUCUCUCUCUCUCUCUCUCUCAAUACAUUUCCCAUUCUUCAUUCUAUCAACUGCCUUUCACACAGGACACAAAGUCUCAGUCUUUCUGUGUGUGUCUCUCUCUCCUCUGAAUUUUUCUACCAUUAUGGAUGUUCAAGAUCACAAAAAAACCCCUUCAUCAGGUUUGUUACUCUCUUUUCCGACAUGGGUUUUUGUCAUACUUGUCUAAAAGUCCUUGCUUUUUUUGAUACAUCGGUUGCUCUGUUUCUUGCUAAAGUCUUGCCGUGUAUUUCAAGAAUUUCUUUCUUUCUUCUUUUUGGUUUUACUUUCUUCAGUUGGGUUUUCUUGAUCCUGCUCUUUUAGUUUACUUGGUGAAGUAUAAUAUAUUUAUUUACACGCACAACACACACAAAUUUGUGUAAUUUUGCUGCCUUUACUUGUGUAUUUUACUUUUCUUGCUGUCUGAGUGAUGAUUUUGUUCUUUUCUUGAAAUGCUGAAACAUGUUUUUCCUUGCUUGUUUUCACUAGUAGUAUAAUUAUGUUCUGGUUAGUGUGAAAAAAGGGUUUUAUCAUAUGAUAAUAUUAAAGUUUUCUACAUUUCUUGAUGAUUAAUUAUUGCAGCAGGAGGGCACGAGGGGCAUGGGGUUCAUUUGUGCCACAAGUGUGGUUGGCCUUUCCCAAAUCCACAUCCCAGUGCCAAACAUAGAAGAGCCCACAAAAGGGUUUGUGGAAAGGUUGAAGGUUAUAAACUAGUUGACUCAGAAAUUGACCAUGUAUCUGAUGAUGACCAUCUUUCUGAUGACGAUAUUGUGAAAACCCCAAGUAAGAAUUAUAUUGAUAUAUUCUUUACACAGAAUUUAGUUUGAUAUUCUAGUAAAUGUAUUAUUUCUUUUUUUUUUUUGGUAUUAUUGUUAUUUUUGGCUUAGCGCUAUUUUAGUGUUUUGAGAAUAAUACUUUUUAAGGUCCCAAGAUGGAGAAACGAAGUGUGAAGGAGGUUGGGAGUGGUGCAGGUAUUGGUCUGAAGUCAAGUAAAUCAGAAGAUGAUGUGUUUUCAGAUGCAGUCACGGAAUUUUCGGAUAGUGGGAUUAGUCCAAGCAUAGAAGAGCGCCUGGAGAGUGUUAGAGAAGUUGAUAACACUGUGGGAGCAGAACUGGUGCAUGAGCUAAAUGAUAGCCAAAAAUCUGAGGAUUGUCGAGCUGAUGGUAAGCAGUUAAUUAGACUGGUACCUUGUUUUCCUUUUUUUCUCUUUUUUUGUUUCUCUUGUUUGAACUGUAUCUGCUUUCUUGCAUGAGUACCUGAUGCAUUUAAUGACUGUUUCGAUAUAAACAGUUAGUAAUUAAACUUGUGCUUCAAAUCUACUAGAAAAUAGUUGGAUAGCUGCUACAGUUCACUGAUUAAUUUGGUAAUGUCUCAAACAUCGCUCUUAUGAUUGUUCAAGCAUUAAACAUGUAAAUACAUCUAUGGUAAUUUCAUUGUUCUGUUUUAUUGCAUUCCAAUUUCAUAUUGUUGCAAGUUAAUAAAGUUUACUAUAGGAGUGAAAAUGAAGGCCUUUCUCCGACUCCUUAAUGGUGUGCUUUCUUUUAAAUGAAGAACCCUCUUUUCCCCCAGCUGCUGAAGGGGUGUUGCAUGGCGUCAGGAAGGAUGUUACAGGCUUUAAAGUCACUUUCUGAACACAUCAUGUACUUGUCAUUGUAAUGCUAACAAAGAGUCCAAUGUAAAAUGUAUCUUGUGCUACAGAGGAGUUAAUGCAGUUGCAGAUCAGGCACUUGAGAUUUUUUACUGAUUGAAACUGAAAUCUGUUUUUUCAUGGAGAUGUAGGUCUAGAAUUAGUGGUAAAAUUGAUAUAUGCCUUUCCUUUUGACGUUUGCCUGCCUUAGUUAUAUUUCUGGGAACCAUAAGUGGAAAAGGAGAUGGUCCAUUAGACAUGAAAAGCCAAUUAAAAAUUCCUUGAAUUUGGUUUUGGAAGUUGUAUCAUAGUGCUCCCGUUACUCUGUUCCAUAUAUUUGGUGGACAUGGUUAAUUUCUCGCUUUAUAUGCUUCUGUUGAUUCAGAGAAUUAAUAAACUGAAAUUAAUGAGCAAAAUUGGUCUUUUUUUUUUUUUUCCCUUUUUUCCCCGAAUUGUGGUUUUUGUAUGAACAUAAAUAAUAAGAAAGCAUGCCAGAGCAUUUUAUUAAUUUUUUUUGAGUGUUCAGACUUAUCACUGGAAAUUUAGCAUUAAAUGUUGGCAUGAUGGAGCAAUCUGCAUAGGGUGCAUAAAAGAAUGCCAUUUUGACUUGUCUGUGCAAGGCUCUAUUCAAGUAUAGAAAUAGAAUUUGUUUUCUCAAAUCAAUAUAAUAUCUAUAUGGUACCUAUGAGGAAAACAGAAAACAGAAUAUUGCAGUGAUUGAGUUCCCGGACAAGCAAAUUUCAUCUUUUAUCUAUUACUUACUCUGCUUUUCUAAAUAGGUUCCAUAUUUCUCGUAAAUAGGUUCCAUAGCUUUGACAUUUUAACAUUUCAAAUGUCUAGUCAUCUUUUUGUGUUUUGACAUAUAUUUUAAAACAAUGGAAUGCAAGAUAUCAAACAUGUCUAAGUAGUCCAAUACAGAAUUUCUCUUCAACAUAAGACUGAAAAAGUUGGAACGUUCUUAAACACAACGAUUAUUCAGUGUUUCUUUUAAUCCAGGUAUCUAAGUAAUCAUGUCACAAAGGUCAAUCCAUGUGCGAACCCAUUUGUUGAUGUAGCAUGUUAUGGUUGUGCCUUACUGGGUUUCACAUAUCUGGUCUGAACCUGAUCCAACUAGUGUUAUUCUUGGUCGUCUUCAGUUAUCAUGUCCCUGACUGAAAUUUCACCUUUAUUGUAAGGUUCGAGAUUUUUAAACAGAAAUCUGCGUCUUAUAUUUGUCAGUACAUAUAGAAUGUGUAGUUGUAAACAUGUAACAUCUUAUUUCUUUAUUGACCUCUCUGAAACUCUUGGAAACCAGAGAUGUUUGCAUUCGUAUGUUCUGUUGUUCUCUUGCUUGAAUUCUUCUGGAAAUACAUGUUCUCUCCUGUUGUUCUCCUGUUGCAUUUGUAUGUUAGUUUGAAUACAUGUCAUCUCCUGUUGCUAUCAAAUACAGCCUUAAGCUAACUUUUAAUUCUUGGUACAGAUGAGGUCAAUUUUGUGGGUAUUAUCUUGUGCUCUUGACUUCAUUGCCUCCUAGAUCCCCUUAUCAAUUUAAAAUUACUAUGUGGCAUAUUCUCUGGCUGCAGAACUUUCUACAUUAAUAUGUUUUUGCACUGUAGAUACAACCAAACAACUGGAUGAUUUGACAACAGGUAGGGAAAUCUCCAAUGCUGAGGUUGUUGAAAGUGUAAUUAACCAGUCAGAGAAUACUAAGCCUGCAAGUGAUAACAGAGCUGAAGAAGUUUCUUUUGGAGUUGAACAAACAGAUGGUCUUCAGAUCAAUUCUUCUCCUAGUGUAUUUGAGACUAUUUCAGAGGACUUAGUUGCAAAUGCUGAGAGUGGCAAACAGAAAGAGAUCGGUUCUUCUAAAUCGGAAACCAAUAUACAAGUGAAAGAAAGUGUUAAUGAGGUUGAAUCCUCCACAGAAUCUGUAGUCCUUCUUAGUAAGUCUCCAGAUGAAGCAUCUCUAAGUAAAUCUAAGUUAGAUGUUGCAGAAGGAAGUUCUGGUUGUGUGGUAGUGGAAUCAAAGGAACACGAAGCAGACAGAAAAGUUUCAGAUACUGUGACCAUGGAACCUAAGUUGCAUGAGGCCAAUGGAAGUAUAUCACAUGCUGCAGCAGUCAAAGAAAUUGUUGAACAGGAGAAAGAGCCGAGUAACAAGUCGGAAGCUAGGAUGACAAGUGUUUCCACCGUAAAUGAAAUUAUUGAACAGGAGAAAGGGUUGUCUAAUGUGUUACAGGCUGAGAUGACCAAAGUUGAUCUCCCCUCUCAAACUGAGCCUCAUAAAUGCGCUGAUACUUCAGUUACUACUCAAGCUGAAGCUGAUUCUGAUACAAUACGAGUUGGUCAUGAUGAGUUGGCUAAGGUUUGUGAUUUGAAGGAAGGAGGGGAUAAAGAGGUGCAUGUAGUAUCAGUUGCUGAAACUUUACCUGCGGUAGAAAAUCCUGAGAUCAUGAUUGGAGAUUUUAAAGACUACAAAGUUUUAAGAUCCAGUUUUCCUGUGGAUCUAGGGGAUGCUGAAGUUACUAGGUCUGGGGAAGAUGAUAACAAAGUCAACCUGCCUGAGUCUGUCCCGAGUCCCAGUUCAAGCGUCCCUGUUGGAAGGUUGCACACCUCUAAUUUAAAUUCUAGUUGUUCAGAAGCUAGUCUUGAGAAAGAAGGCCUUUUAACACCUGUUCAAGGGGAAGUUGAUACUUCUGGGUUAAGGGGGAUCAGUGAAGAAGGCUCUGGAAGUAAUGGCCUGGAAGGUUCUUCAGUGAAUUCUGGUUUUGAAAAACAGGUUAUUGAAGGAUGUCAACCUAAACCGACUGAUAAAGAAUCAUCGCAAGAUGGAGUUCCAGCACCAAGCUCAAUUGAACAUUCUGAUGUGAUGCGUGCUGUGUCGUCCAUUGAUGAAGAAUUCAGCAGUCAAACAACCAAAUUAAGUAACUUUGAAACUGCUGAUGAUAAUGUAAACUUGAAAAGUGAUCAUGUGAGGUCAGAAAAUGGAACAGAUCACCUGUUGGACGAAGAUAAUAUUUCGAGUUCUAAAAAAUGCACAAUUGAAGUUGAUGUGGAAACCUCACAAGGAACUGAAACAGGUAGGAGCACUGAAGUACAAAGGUCUGAAGGUGUAUUUGUUGUGGAUCCUGAUUUAAUUCCUGAAGGCCAUAGUGUAGCAUCAGGUGAACAAUCAGAAAAUCCUAAGGAGAUGGAAACACAAAUUUCCAGUUCAGAUUCUCAAUUAAAACCUGAAGAUCAUGGUGGAGCAUCUGACAAAAAAUCAGAAGAUUAUAAGGAGGCAGCAGGUUUGCCUGUAGCUUCUACGGUCUCAAGCCAAAGUUCUGCUACUGUUGAAGACAAAAUUACCAAUGAUGCAGUCACUUCUGAAAUAGGUAAGAGCACUGAAGUACAAAGGUCUGAAGAUGUAUUUGUCGUGGAUCCUGAUUUAAGUCCUGACGGCCACAGUGUAGCAUCAGGUGAACAAUCAGAAAAUCCUGAGGAGAUGGAAACACAAAGUUCCAGUUCAGUUUCUCAAUUAAAACCUGAAGAUCAUGGUGGAGCAUAUGACAAAAAAUUAGAAGAUUAUAAGGAGGCGGCGGCUUUACCUGUAGCUUCCACAAUAUCAAGCCAAAGUUCUGCUACUGUUGAAGACAAAAUUACCAAUGAUGCAGUCAUUUCUCAGCCCUUGCUAGAUGGAGACAAUGGCAAGCUCACAAAAGAAAGUGUACACGUUUCUGCGGUUGAUGACUCCGUUGUUUCAAGCAGCCGAACUGAGAGUUUGGAUGGGAACUGGGGAUCAGUAUCAGGUGCAAUUCCCUUGCGAUAACAAAAUAAUCAUUUAAUUGCAAUCUCUGUUCUAGUUGGUGCCACAUGGCUUUUUGUUUUUGAUUUUUAGCUUAAUUGUUAAGUUUCCGUUUAUUUCACUUGCAAAGUGCAUCGAUAUUGAGUAAAUAUGUUAACAUGAGUGCAAGUAUCAGAAUGGCAUCCAUGUAUAUGUGUCGAGCAUGCAGAGGCUUGGUAGUCAAUUCCUGAAGUCGGAAGUGUGUAGUUCAUGGUAUAUGUGCCUGGCUCUUCCUCUCAUGCUGUUUGGAAUGUUGACCCUCAUUAUGAUGCUUAGCAAGAUUGCAUACGUUUUUCAUGUUUUGUUUUUGCUGAUUAAACAAAAGCUUACUUCUUGGUGGAUGAAACAGUACUUUCUACCCAGUCAGAUGGGGCAGCUCUUGCGGAUGCUGAAACACUAUCUUCAGCUGGUAAUCAGGGACCAGAGAAAUCUGGGGUCACGUCAUUAAAGCUGCAAACUCCGUCUCAGGAUAGCCAUCCUGACAAGUCAGAUGCUUUUGAGCCUCCAUCUUUCAUGACAUUGGUUGAAUCUCGGGUCGAGGAUGACAAGAAAGUUGUGGCCACAGAAACACAUAAUAUCCAGAAGACUGAACAGCCAAAUUCUGAAGCUUUACAGGCUGGCUGGUUUCCAUCUCUAACCAAUGUCGUUAAUGAAUCAGAAGGCAGAAAGAAAAAUGAAGAGAUUAUUGCCAAGGUAACAAACUGGAAUGCAGGGAAGCAGCACAGUCCGUUGAAAAAUCUUCUGAACGAAGCUCAAGCUGAAACAAAGGUAAAAUCAGCUGACCAGAAACAAGUUCCUUCUGUGAAUCAGGGCAACGAGACUGUCUCGAAGAACAAUGGUGCUGCAGUGACUACUGUUGGCUCAAUUAUGGGAUCAGAAACGCCAGUUGACAAUGCUGCCAAGAGGGACAUGGAGAAGGAAUGGAAUUCCCCAGCAAGAUACCCAGUUGAGAUCAAGAAAGAAAAAAAGAAGGGAAAACCAUAUUGGGUACCAUUUGUGUGCUGCACUUCCAUACACCAAGACGUGUAAACCUUUGGUCUCGCGUUGACCCCAAGACAUCAUCUUGGAGGCACUUCGAUCAUUUUCUUUUUUCGAUCACUUUGAACAUGAAAUCCUUUGUACCUAUUGACUAAACUACGGGAUUACUGCUUUAGCAUAAAACUGGCUCUUGUAGAAUCUAGAUAAGGUGUCUCUUGUUACGAACAUAUAUUGCUAUCAGCUGCUUUUGUGUGUGUGUAUAUAGCUAUAGCAUUCCUGUGUUUGAAAGCAUAGGUGAGUUACACGAUAAUUUCCUGAAAGCUCUUUGACUCCUUUAAGUUCAAUUCCCCUAAAUUCGAUGCUUAUUUUGUCAAUGUUAUGGUGGAGUUUAAUUAGUCUGAUCUGGAUUUUGCCAGCAUCUUAGGAAUGCUGAGAGAUUGAGAUGCAAAUUAAAUCAUUCUUACCUCCCCUUUGCCUCCAUAUGCUGUACAAGAAAGUGCUAACUGAUAAAUAAGCAGACGUUACUUGGGGUGACUUAGCCUCCUGGCAGAUGAUUGGGGAUGAUUUGACAGAACUUAAUCAAGCCUAAAUCUUAAAUAAGCAAGCAAGAGAUGCAGUUUCUUAGCAUCCUCCUCCGUUUAUAGUGCACAUUAAUCCUAGUGUUUUUAAAUCUACUAUAUUACUAUACACUAUAGAAACAAAACAAAAAUGCAAUCACUACAAGAAAAUGUCUCAAUCGUGACAUAAAUGAUUGGAUUAAGGCAUGAAUAAGCUACCACAUAAGUACAUUUGCGUGUCUAAUGAGACAUCAGAUAAUUCUCCAAUUUGGCAUAUACAAGUUAUCUGCUGUCCCAAUAUUACAUUUAAGGGAAAUUCUGCAAUGUGGUAUACCAUGUUUGUGGAACCAACUACUCGAGUAGUUGGUCACCAGAGAAAGUUUUAAAGCUCUUCUUGAUGCAGAUCAAGGAAUUGACCUGCAUUCACGUCCAAGAUUUUUUGAAAAUUUCACUUGCACCUGUCUGGUUUGAUGGUGGUUCAGUUCUCUCCGAUUUUUCCAUUGAUCCCCUUGGGUCCACCUCUUCCCUUUAGUGUAGAGUAGGAGUAGGUGUAGAAUAUAAUUUUUCAUGUCCGAAAAAAAAAGAAAAAAAAGUAUACCACGUUUGUGAUGCCGGUAGAAACAAGAGUGUAAAAAAAAAAAAAGAAAAAAAAUCCUGAGAUACUAUAAAUAUGGUAUGCCACAUGGUAGAUGAUCCCUUUCAUUUAAUCUCUCAAUUGUAAAUUCUUGUGCCCAAAUUCUGAUAUAUUCUGGAGAUGUCGCAUAAUGCCUUCAAAUUAAUUGGUUUGAUCAUCAUAUCUUUACCUACACUUGAUAUAGAGCAUUGCCAUAAUGGCUUUCUAAUUUUUAUGGGAACAUAGGAACUGCUACAAGUUUGGUUGCAGAAUCUGAGUAUAUCUACUGAAUAGACAGUUUGAAGUACCUUCUCAUAUGGGCGUAUAAUUGCAGGUAUCAUUGCAAGACUUUCAUUUAAAAGGUUGAGGUCUUAUCCUGACAUACAUAGAAGGAAAUAAGGCCUCUUUAGUUCCAUUACUCUCUAAUCGUAUAAAUUGAUAGAAUUUCGAUAUAAAUUGACACAAUAAACAUGAGUUAUAAUUGAAUUGGUGUAAAUUCACGAUUAUACAAAAAAUAUCUUAGUUUAUAUCGAAAUUAUAUCAAUUUAUACAAUUGAACGGAAUCUCAACUGAAAAGGCUCAAAAAAAUAUUUGUGUGAUACUGUUCUAAUUCGUCCUUAACCCUUUUGUAAUCAACGUUUAGCAGGGUCAGGACCACUUUCUUUUGUUUUUAGAAAUUUAUUAGAAGUUUGGUUAACAAAUCACUUGUAAAUAUACCAUUACUUUCUCCUAUUUCUACCCAGAAAAAAAAAAUUCAUUGCCAUAUUUACAUACCAUCUCCACUUCCCGCUUACAAUGGCAGAGUCCUAUUGAGAGUAUUAUUCCCAGCCAAAUGACUUGGGCGCCACCUACUACUUACCAUCAACUCCAUAAGCCCUUCACAGCUUUCUUGAGCCCCUGCAAAACCCCAGCCUUGCACCUCCUAAUUUCUUGUUCCUCUACUGAAUCUUGUAACCGGGAUAAUAAGGGCCAUUUUCACUCUCCAUCCCGUUCACAACAGUCAUUCCAGAAAAUCAAAAAGAAUCAUUCUUUACAGCCAAAACGGUUACACCAGAGGCAUAGAGGAGAUUCUUUUGUUGAAUGGGUUAAAAAGAAAAAGCAGUCUGACCCAACUGAUAUUCUUCAGCAAGAUGGAGAUUGGAGCAAAGAACAAUUCUGGGAUUUCAUCAGAUUCCUUAGAGAAAGUUCAAGGACCAGUGAGAUUCUUCAGGUACUACCUCUCCUAUCUGUUGGAGUCAUCCAAAUCUCUUUAUUAAACUUUGGUUAAAUGGUCUUUGGGUUUGCUGAUACUUUGUGGGUAUUGGCUCUUGGGAAUUUGCUGGGAUAAGUUCUUUGGUUGUUGUGUGAAAAGCUCAGUUUGAUUGUGGUUUAUUUUUUCCCCAGUGAAAAAAUAUGGUUGAUUUUUUUGCCUUUUUUGGGGUGGUUUGGGGCGGUUGGGGGGGUGCUGUUGCUGUCUUUAUUUUCAUUGUCCAUCAUGCAUAAGUGGUUUCUGAAGUUAGAAAAUAGAAGACAGAGUUGAUAUGAAGGACGUAUAGUUGUCAUUUAUGUCUUUGUAUAUUAUAAAUAUGUUGUAGGCGUUUGACCUGUGGAAGGACGUGGAAAAAUCCAGAAUUAAUGAGGAGAACUAUGUGAAGAUUAUAAGCUUAUUGUUUGAGGAUGGACUGACAGAUGCAGCGAUAUUGGCGCUCAAACAAAUGGAGAGCCAUGGAAUUAGGCCUUCUCUGGAAAUGUACAAUGUAGUGAUUCAUGGGUUUGCAAGAGCAGGACGGUUUGAGGAUGCUGUGUUUUAUCUCGAGGAGAUGAUGAACGCUGGCUUAAAGCCUGAUACAGAAACCUAUGAUGGGCUUAUUCAAUCCUAUGGGAAGUAUGGAAUGUAUGAUGAGAUGGGUAGAUGCCUGAGAGAGAUGGAAUCCGGUGGGUGUUUACCUGAUUAUGUAACUUACAACUUGCUGAUUCGAGAGUUUGCAAAAGCUGGAUUGCUCAACAAGAUGGAAAGCACUUAUAGUGCUCUUCUUGCAAAAAGAAUGGAUCUGCAGAACUCUACUUUAGUUGCAAUGCUGGAAGCAUAUGCCAACUUUGGAAUUUUGGACAAGAUGGAAAAGGUUUUCAGAAGAGUUUUAAACUCAAAAGCUUAUCUAAAGGAUGAUUUGAUUCGUAGAUUAGCCAGAGUCUAUAUUGAGAAACUUAUGUUUUCCAGAUUAGAGGACUUGGGACUUGAUUUAUCUUCUAGAACUGGCAGCACUGAUCUUGUGUGGUGUUUGCGCCUCCUUUCUCAUGCUUGUACUUUGAGCAAAAAAGGAAUGUAUUUCAUUAUUCAGGAGAUGGAAUCCAGUGAAGUGCCAUGGAAUGUAACAACUGCUAAUAUAAUGGCAUUAGCCUAUUUGAAGAUGAAGGACUUUACGCACUUGGAAAUUUUACUCUCUGAAUUACCAUCUCGAUAUGUAAAACCGGACAUUGUUACUGUUGGAGUACUUUUUGAUGCCAUCAUUUCUGGGUUUCGGGGCAAUCCAGUAAAAAGAUUAUGGACAAAAACAGGAUUUUUUGAUGAUACUGUUGAAAUGAACACAGAUGCUCUUGUUCUGAUUGCAUUUGGAAAGGGGAAGUUCCUGAAAGAUUUUGAAGAGAUGUUCCCCUUAUUUGAGGCCAAAACUAGAAAUGGGAUGUGGACUUACCGCCAUCUCAUAGAUUCUGUCAAGACUCGGUUUGUGGGUGGUUGAACAAUUUAAGCUAAAGGAAUUUGAAGUAUAAUGAGAGCCUUGAUGAAAUGGAGCAUAUUUGUUGUCAUGUUGAUGGACAUCUUGAAGGACUCUCUGUAAAGUAGAUAAGAAGAGAGGAUCAGAGUUACACUUGACAUAUGGGUGGUUAAACAAAUUGAAGCUUAGAUCAAAUCUAUAUACGAAAUGCAAGAAAGUUGUUGGCAUCUUGAUGGGUUCUCUACAUGGUACAUAGGAACUGUAUUAGAGAACAUGAAUUUUGGGCCAUCGGAAACUUGUGAUAGUCAAAGAUUCUGCUUUAAAUUCAUUUGCCUAACCUCCAAAGACAGCAUUCUAGUUGCAUCUGUAACUCAAGGACAUCGAUAUUUUUUUGUUUGAACUGAGUGUCAAAUGAUAAAUAUUAAGAUGCAUUCUCAGAUGAACUUGAUAAACUGAGUGAAUUGUUUGUUUUCUGCUCGCUGUCUUGAAAUACAAGGUUCUUCAAUCGCAUGGAGGCUGCCAACAUUUAUAGUUUCUAUUUACGUGCUUCUGGUAUUGAAGAAGAGACUGCAGAUAAAUCACCCUUAGCAAUAAAGAUGAUAAGAGUAUACUGACAAAGCUUCCAUGUCUUUCAGAAUACAGAAGCUGCAUUGGAAUUUCUUACAGGAAGUCUUAGUGGGAAGAGGGUGGGCCAGGUAAGGGGGUUAGUUAAGAAAGAAAUGUUGAUUAGCGGAAAGGUUUGAAUCGGGGGAAGGUUUUGCCUUGAAGAUCCUUCAAUAUGUGUCAUCUUCUUCAGCUGUUUAUUCUUGGUUUCCAGACCAUAGGUUGUGAUGGUAAGGAGCUUCCCCUCGGUUAUAGCUACACGAGUUCCCUGGAAAUUCCAAGGUGAAACAUGAAUUUGUAUGUUUUAUAAACUUUCUCAAAAUCUUUCUUAGUGUAGGUUCAACAAGUCCUUAUGAUUUCAAUGGAUAAAGUCAAAUAAAAAGGAAUAGAAUGGAAAAUACGAUGAGCAUAUGCCCUUUUCCCCUCAUCUUGGCUUGUAAAUUAUUUCUGGUCUUGGUGUGUGUUCUUUAGGUUCAAAAUUUUCUGCUGUAGAGUACCGAAAGAUCAUAGUCUUGGUGCACAUUGUCUUUUCCUUCCAAUUUCCACUGAGAAAAUUGAUUGCCAGUCCAAACUGGAUGCACUCUUGGUGAUCUAGUGGAGUAAAUACUAGCCAAGAAUAGAAGACAAAAUGGAAGCAUGAUAACUUUUUCCUCUUACGUUUUACAUACAAUUGGCAUGAUGCAGGCAUCUAUAUUUGUAUAAGCAGCAUAUAACUUCAUUACAAACAAAAAUAUAGACCAUGCCAUCACGGCAUUGGGUACCUUUUCCUAGUUACAUGGCAGAUGCCCUUCAGAUGCAGACUGAAUUUCUUCAAUUUAGAUUCAGUCCUCAUCCAUUAGACUCUUUGAGAAUGAAUCUAUUUCUGCCAGUAGUUCCUCAUUUGUACAUUGUGAUCUCCCUAGGCGAUCAUGAGAAGAUAGAGAUGACAUAAGGUUAAUGAGGAUCUCACAAACUUUCCCUGAACCAUAAGAAAGUCCGCUUUCUUUCUCCUUUUGCACCUCACUGGUGUCAUUUUGAACUUCAUCCACAUAUAAAUGUUUCCUGCAAGCCUGCAAGGUGAAUGUGAAUAUAAGUUUCUACUGGGAGCUCGCGGAAGAAUGCUUCUGCAAGGACGACCACAAAGAGCUGAAAAGAAUAUUGGCAUGUCAAACAGAUAUAUUAAUUUCUGCUGGGGUAUUUCUUUCAGUUGUGAACAUUUAUGCCUUGAGAUUUAGUGAUAUCUUAUGAAAGGAAAAGGAAACUAGAAAUAAAGGUCCGCAAACGUCACCUGGAAGACCCGAUUUAGGCUGGCAAUAUGUUCAGCCUUUAGAUACCCAGAAUUUAGAAGCUCCCGAAACAAAAGAACAAGUUCCCUGCUCACAUUACUUCUUGUAAUGUUUUGAACAAUUGCAGUUAAAGAAGAAUCAUCUAACACGGAAGCCAUCCAGUGGGGAGUUUCUUUUGAUUUUAGCAAAGCAAUAGCAACAUUAACUGCAGGCUUGUGAUGGAUCAUGAAAGAUGUUGAUCCGAUGCGUGGAACUGCCAAAAACAUUACUAGUUCCUCUACUAUCAUCCUGCACCAGAUGUUACUUUCUGCAGCUAAUUCCUUCCCAUCCAGCACUUUCCAAUCAAUAAACAUCGACAGACAACGGGAACAAUUAAGAGAGGUUCUGACAUCACUCGAAAAAAUCAGGCCUUCUAAAAUAGCCAUUAUGGACAAUAGAUAGCCACUUCUAAUGUUUAACCCAUCUGGCUCUCUACUUCCUUGAUCUGAUAUUUUGUUUAAUAGCUCCAGCAAGCAAUAUGAAGAAACGAGUUUUAUUGCGGGAGAGCCAAAAUGCAACAACUUGCAGAAAUCGCGACAAUGCAAACUAAUGUAGGCUAUUGGCUGCUUCUCAUUGCCAUCCUUGAGUAGAUUAUGCAAUUCUGUUAUCCCUGGUAGAACAGCUGAUAGACUAAGAAAGAACAGAAUUACUUUCAUAAAGAUGAAUCAAUAUGCAUCUUAAAAAAUAGAAAAGAAGUAAUUUACCUUCUUAAAGAGAAGAAUAUCAGUAAAAGCAAACAAAUAAGAGCUUCUCCAUUUUUUGUUUCUUCUCCUUUUGAACAAGCUUCAGCAAUAGCUUGUUUUAUUAUUGAGGCUAAAGGAGUACUCAGAAGUAUGAGUUUGGAAGUUUCAAUCAGCACUUGAUUUGUAGAGUGGUGCAAUACCAAUGCAAAAAUGCUGAUCACCAUAAUACUUUCUUGGGUCCAACAAUCUGUUUUUCUUGUACCUGUCAAGUAAUUCAUCAACUACAAAGUACGAAAAGGACCAAAUUAAUAGUAGGCAACCAGAAGAAAAUGCAAAGAAGUAAAUUUCAACUGAUUUUACCUUAAUGGAAAUAGCAACCCAAGUUUCAUCAUCAGAAAGUGACUCAGAUUGCACUGACCGUAAAAUUAAAAUAACUAGAUUGGAGAUGUCGAUAAAUAAGUCCGGAAGAGAUGAGUAUCUUGAGUGGCUAUAAAAAUUACGGAUUGGACUGGCUAUCCCAUGCACGCAUAACAGAUCUGAAGUAGCUGGCAUCACUUUAAUUAUUUCUGCAAUUGUAUGAACUACUGAUAUGAUGUCAUCUUCUUGGUCAUCCUGUUCUAUGAGCUCUCCAAGUAAACACACAAAAUGCAUUGAUCCAAAAUUAUGUCCCGACAUUAUCAACUCUGCAAUUGAUCUUACAUCUAAGUUCAGCUUAUUUUUGCCAAAGGCAAUAAUACUGCUUCCUCCAGAACUGUUGCUUCUACAAAAAUUCAGCAUCUGUUCUGACAGUAUCUUAAAGAUUUUAUCUUGUUGGAACAACCAUUUGAGAGAAGUAAAAUGAAACUUUAUUGAAAGUAAAUUCCAAUCCUCAUCAGUCAAUAGAUGGAACAGGAUUCUUUCUGCUUCUGGGCUAUAAGGGACUUGGUAACUCAUCUUGGCAAGACCUCUAUAUAGCCCAUAAAGAUUCACAAGUAACUCAAUUGUCAGUGAAGGAGAAGCUCCACACAAGAGAUCACUGCCAUUAAGCAAAAUAUACUGCUCUAAAGAAGCCAGCGCCAUCUUAUCAUCUGCAAGCCUAGGAAUAAGCAACGAACAAAAAAGCACAAAAUUCAUGUGAGACAAAUGCAAAAUAAACAUUUAUGGAGCAAUAGUGUGAGAAAUGGUCAGCAAAUCAAUUACCUAUCAUCAUAAAGAGAGCUUACAUAUAGUAUUAGAAGUACUGCAGAUUGACAAGAAAAUAGAUGCAUAUUGUGAGAGCUCUUCUGCCCCAGAAGGAACAGCAAAUCUAUAGGGUCAGAUGGUAGGUGGAAUGCAGCACCUCGUAUUGGCUGUCCUGCAUCUUCACCUAGGAGCAGAUCCGCUAUUAAACUGAAAAUCAGAUACACCUUCAUUUUUAAAUUUUCAGAAGGAAAUGACCCUAAACAUCCUAAUAGGACACUAAACCAGGAUGAAGAGACCAUAAUCUCAGCCAAUUUCUUGAUUUCAGUGUCAGUAUCCUGAAUCAUUAUGGAUUCAAAGGUUUCAAUCACCCCCAGGAUAAUAUCUUCCUCUUCUAUGUCAUUGAUGGUUGUCAUGAACCAUGGAAGUAUAUCUUUUUGACAUACGUAAAUGAUUCCACGCCUCAGACCCAAGUUAAUUGGUUCACUACUAUUUUCUGCAUGGCUAUAUGCAUAUGUUUCUUUCAACAGGUAAAGGGAGUGCAAAAGUUGAUCAGGGUGCUUAUCAUAGUUACCCAAACAAGACAACACAGCGUCUCUUGAUGCAUCAUGAAGUGAGCUUAAACUUAAAGCCCCACAGGAAGAUGAAUUUUUCAUUAGAGUAACUAACAAUGUGCAGGCCAGAUUGAAUGUCUCUGGAAGAAUGCCUGACUCCCCGCCUGUAUUUUUCUUAAGCAUCCCUGUCAUAAUAGUGCUUAGUUCUUCAACAUCAGAUCUGGAAACUAUUCCUGGACACUCUAGCACACAGUUCCCUACAAGCUUCAGCAACUGAGUUUGGGCAGGAUGAAAAGGAACUUUGGCUACAUGAUGCAGAACAGGAAUCAGGGUUGCAAACCCAAUGGCAAGCCUUUGUCUAAAUGCCUGCUCAGCUGUUGAUAGUACAUCAAGAACCUGAAUGCAAGAGUUUACCAGUGGAUCCUUGCAUCCUAGAAGAGUAGAGGAAAAGUUUUCAGCAGAUAAAAUAUACACAUCAGUUAGUGGUGGAUAAAAUAAAUGAAAUGCCAACACAUUAUUAGCUUGACUUUAUUAUAAGCUAAGCUGCACUUAAAUGCCAAAACAGUGACAUGAUUACAGGACAGGACUCAAGACAUAGAACUAUUAAGUACAUCAUGCUCUCCAGCUUUUUCCUAGUGCUUAUGUGCAAUAUCAAAUUUGCAAUUUUCAUUCCUACUUCUGCGACAGACUAACACAUUGGAUUGGCAAAAGUAUCACAGUUUUCCUAAUGAAGCUAACCUGAUAAUCUCAGUAUUUCAAGUACAUAAUCUGCAAUGUUCUCCUCUACCAUUACUGUGAUUUCUUCUUCAGUGCCACCUUCACAUGCAAGCACCAAAAAAAUCAAAUCCAAUGUGGCAACUUGAACUUGGCAAUCUGAGGAAAGCAGGGGACCUUUGACAGCCUCAGCAAACAAGCUAAUGAGAGGACGGCCAUCUGUGGUCUGCUCUGAUAUUUGCAUCAGAUUCUCUGCUUCAAUAGAAUCCUUUACUUCAUUUCUACAUGUAUUCUCAAACCAUCCUCUAAGAGCAAACACUGUCAAAAGUGCUACAAGGCAAAACAGGAAAUAAUUAGGUCAGAUCAAUCCAGAAGUAAAUCUUUGUUUGCAUAAACACCUGGUAGUAUACGAGUCGCUAUUGAUCUAAUUGUGUGUAUUGAUGCAGUAAACAAGCAAUUGAUUCGUAUGGUUUAGCCCAAUUCUAAAGAGCUUAGUGUUUUAAGCAUCAUAGCACGAAGGACUUGGAAUCAUAUUUUGAAUUUGAGAUCUUAGUGAUUUGCACCCAAUAUGGAUCAUUUGUUUUCACAACUUGAUACCCAAAGAUAGAACUAGUGUACCAAAGUCAUCCUGACUUAUAAUAGCUUCCACAACAAUAUGUCCUGCAACAAUUAAUGCUUGACCCAAGUUGUUUCCAAAAUUACAUGAUGCAGUUCAAACUUGACAAAAUUAUAUUCUUGGUGUCUGGGUUCAGACUGUAAAUCUUAUUCAUGUGGAACAAUCAUUAUAACAUAGUUCCUUUAAAAACUAGAAAAGCAUAUCAAAAUAGUACAUAGGUGGAAGAUCUUUACAGUGCUUGCCAUUUUGGUCAAGGUAAGGCUGCAUAGGCAUAUGUCAUUGUUCUCAGUAGCAUUCUGAAUUUAGAGACUAAAACUAGAAUCUUUAUUCACCCAAUAUAAACCCUCUAUAAAAAUCUUUCCUGCAACCUGGUAAUCCAGUAUUGUCUGCAUCAAGGAAUAUCUGCCUCCUAAAGGCAGCUGCUAUCUGUAUGAUGAAUUUGACUCAGGUCAAUGCAUGCCAACUCCACACUAAGGUUACAGUAGGAAGCAUGGAAAUUACGGAGAAAAAGAGAGAAGAGCAUGCUAAAGUCAGUUAUAGCCUCAUUUCAAACAACAGACCAACCUAUACAGUUCAACCGAACAUCAUCACUUUGAGUCUUCAUGAGGGCUUCCAGUGAUAAGACCAAAAGCUUAGCACAAUUCGCAUCUAAUACUUCAGAAAAAUCAUUAUCUUCAUUGGCAUUGACCAGGAAAGCUAUUUUGUACAAAACAAACAGAAUCUCUCCUUGGAUUUCUUCACUGUAGUAAAAGGAGGAAAAAUUAGAUAGAAAACCACAAAAGUUGAGGCACAUAAAGAUAUUUCAUCUUUUAUGUAAUCACCUAGGCAACUGAAGACCUGCGAUAAGGUUGAAAACAAGGGCACCUUUGUCUUUGACAUAUAUAUGAGGAUUACUUUUCUGACACUCCAAGAGAACGCCCAAGCAAUGAAGCUGCAAUCAACAAGAUUAGGAACUUAAACUUUCCAAGAAAAAAUGAAACAGAUAAACUUCACUCCCAUAAAAAUUGCUCUGGAGUCUUCAAAUUUACAAACUAAUUCAUCUAUACAUCACUUGAUAAACAUUUGGGAAAAUUACAUCUGAUAAAGGAAGGAAAGAUUACAGGCACUGAAAUUGUUUACUUUGUGAGAAAAAAAUAGUUAGUAGAUGUGAAAAUCCUCCAAAACCAGAAAUGAGAACAAAAAAGAGAAAAUGGACAUCAUGGAGCACAAGCAUUAUAUUUAUCCACACACACAAAAGAGGAAAAUUCAGACAAUCAAAUAGAAUAUAACAUAAUUUUGUACUACUAAUUAUGAAGCCUGAUCCAAGCAAUAACAGAAUAACGAUAAAACAACACUAGAAAUGAAAAUGAAAUGUAAUUUUGAAAUAAAAAUUCCAAAAUCUUCAUUAUUAAGAAAACUCAACCACAAAUAAAAAAGGAAUACUUUAGUAAAAAAUGAAAAAAAAAAAAGGGAGUUACAAUUUGGAGCUGUUGGCAACUCCAAGCUAGGGAGUAAGACGAGAGACGAUCAGUAACUUUUGCGACGAACUCUCCGUACACUUGACCAUCCUUAGCAGCGUCACAUAUUAGCAAAACCAAAUCCACGAUUUGUGCGGCGAUGGCAGCAUCGUUGAAGGCGGAAAGGGACUGAAUGAGAGGAGAAAUUAGGAAAUGAGAGUGGAAAGUGACGAAGGAGUGGAGAAAUUGAGGUUGAGCCAGGGCUUGGGAGAGUUGAGAGAGGGCGUAGGAGACGUGAACUGUUGGGGAUUUGGGAUUGGAGAUGAGAUUCGAGAGGCAGACUAGGCAGAUCCUUCCGCCUUCCGAAGUUGGGAGGUUUAAGGCCGUGCUGUGGCCUUGCGAGCAUGCUUCGUACGGCGGCGGCGAUGGUGCGGAGUGGUGGUGCGCGGUGGUGAAGAACAUUUUUGGUUCUUUUUUGAAUUUGAACAGGGAGAACUUUUGGCGCGGAGGGGAGUGAACGGGAUUUUAUAGUUGGGACUCGGGAGAAUGAAAGUUGAAAAUGGUAAGAGUUUUUUUUUUUUUUUUUUUGCAGAAAAAGGAUAAAUUAUGAGUUGAAUCAAAAUGUGAAGUUUUGAAAUGAAAAUUAUGGAUCCAAAAGAUAAACGUGUGAUAUUGGGAUAAAAAGUUUUAUUACGUGACGAAUAUGAAGUAAAAAUAGAAUUAAAAAUAUAAACAUGUAAUUAAAAAAUGUAUUUACGAUAUAACAAAAAGAAUUCUAAAAUAAUUUGGUAUCCAAACAAUUAGUGUCAUUCGUAAAUUGUACUGGAAUAUUUCAAAUGUCAUUAUAAGGCAGUUGGAUAAUUGAGAAUUUAAAAAGUUAACAUUCAACUAUAAAUGAUGAAGAGAAUAAGAGUGUACAAAAAUAAAAUAAAAUAAAAUUCAAACGAAUUGGAUUUCAUUUGUCAUCCCUCAAGUUUAAUAAAAAGAGAAGAGGAGUAACUAUAGCAGCCCCAAUGGUUGCCACAUGGCUCUCCUUCUUUUUGACAAGUGGCAUAUUUCGUGAUUUAAUUUCUUUUCUUUUUUUCAUUAUUUUUCCCCUCAUUUUCCCCUUCCUUUUUUAUCAAGACAAAAAUCUACACAAAUCCUAAUGUACCGUAGCUUCAUCCCUUCCCAUCCUUUACCUCUUUAUCUGCUCCCACGCUUUACACCUUUCUCUUUCAAUGUUCGUUUUUUAAAUGAGGCGAAUUUACUAACAUAACUCAUAUUGUUAAUUUUCUUUCUAAAAUUUUGCCAAUGUAUUCCCAUUUAUAUUUUUCACUGGAACAUUAUAUGUUAAAUGAUGCUUUUAGACUCUGAGUUGCGAGUUGAAUGAGUUAUUUUUUUCUAACGAUAUUGACACAGUUUAUCAUGCUAUUAUUAUAUUUUCAAGUAAGGACAUGUGAAGGUGUAUGUAUUUGUUAGAAUUAAUUUUACAAAAAUUUUUUUCAUGCUUUCUUUUUUUAGUUAAUUUUUAACUUAGGACUGUCUUAUUUUUGGAUUAAUGUUUUUGAAUUAGCAAUGCUAAACAGAAACACUAUCAUGUUGAAUCUAUAUUUGUUUGCCAUAUAUUUAAUUCUUAUAUUGCUGCUAUUUUUCUAAAUAAAAAUGUAAUUAUAUAUAUUUUAAACAAUAUUUUACAUGGGCCCAAGCACAGCGUGGUUUUCCUAGUAUCAUAAAAUACUGAAAAAGAAAGAAAGAUUUGAUUAAGAGUUAAUGUAUAAAACUUACUGGAUGGAAAAAAAAAAAAGAAAAGAAAACCAAUAGGUAAAAUGGAAAACAACAAAAUAAGAUAAUUCUAAUCAACAAUGUAAGAUUCACAAUCCUCCCAAAAAGAAAAAAAAAAAUAAGUGCUAUAGAUAUAGUAGGUGAACUAGACUGAAAACAAUAGCAUCAUAGUACUUAAUUUGAACCAAAAGAAACCAAUGCAAAAAAAUGACAAAACUUGUCUAUGACCGCCACUAAAUAGUCUAUGCGUAGACAAUUCACUUUCUAUCAACAACUAAACCGUAAUCAAUUUCAACUUCAGGUAAUUUGUUCUACAUUUAUCAGUCACCUCAAUGAGGUGCAUUAAACAAUAUUCAUAUUCUCAUUAAGACAAGAACUAUCGAGAGUAAGACUUGAUUAUGACUACAAUUCAUCAUAAAAGAAUAGCUAAGUCCUAUGUGUAGAAAAAGUGUGGAGGAGAUAGAAGCCAGCCAUAUAUCAUCUUGUUCUUCUGCAGAUGGAACUUUUGGAAUUUGGUGGAGUCAACUACAAGAGGCAGUGGAAAGGCAAGAAGGGAGGGAACAUGCUGACUUGACAUCAAAUUUACAAGGGUAAAUCUGGAAAGCCAGGAAUCAGAAUUGCUUUAAUUCAGAGUGUAGAGAGAAAGAGGAAACAGAAGAACUGGGAAGAAAUAAGACUGUUAAAAAUCCAAGAAACAGUGCCAUAUAGCAAGCAACGAACAUCUUCACUGAUGGUGCAUCUGACAAGAGCCCAGGAACAAAGCUGGACUAGGUGUGAUAGUUAAAGACAACGAAAAAACAUUCUCAUGGAAUGGCUACUUGGGAAUCCCUGUGAAUUUUCGUGCAAAGAUCAUAAAAGCAAAUAGUAAUCACGUCUGACUUUGCUUUUUGCCAUGGAGAGUAAAUUCGUGCAUCUAUUUGUAUCUCCUCUAAUUGCAAUGAAAUAGUUACCCAAAUUGAACAAUGAUGAAUCUUUUCUAUCUACUGUAUCACAGGACAUUUGGAGACCUAAGUAUUGCUUUUGAAGCAGCUCUCUCAUUUAGAUUCAUAGGCAAGAGAACAAAAUAUUAGCCCUUGUUUGGCAAAAUUUUGCCACUAAACUCCAUGAUGUAAAGUGGGAACUGGAGAGGGAAAAAUUUUGCCACUAAAAAUUUGCUCCCUGACGUCAAGGGAGAACUAGAGUUCUCCAUGGAUUGGGGAUAGGGAAGUUGCCAUUAAUUCUAGACUUAGUUCAAUACAAAGCAGGUUACAUUUCCAUCCCCCACCCCAGAAAACAAAAAUAAUACUAAUGCUUCCUAGGCCGAGUGAAUCGGUAUUUGAAGGCAAAAGACGCAGAUUUAAGCUUCCAGAGAAUAGUUACAUGGUGAAAUCUAAAUAAGAUCAAUCUUCAAUACAAAAUGAAAACAUAAAUAACAACUUUGGAAAAAAAGUUCAUUGGUAGAAAAGCAGCAAAAGAACUUCAUAGCAAAGGUGAAUUGACUGAGACAGCCUGCAGAACCUUCCAAAGUGCAUGUGUAUAUGCUACAUUUCAAAUGCUAUAGAACUGUCAAAAUAAUCAAAAUGUUCCAGGAUUUUCAACCUAGAGCGCUGGAGCAAUUAAAAGUACAGAAGUUCAAUACAACACAAAAUCUAAACCUGGAUGAUAAAUUACAACCACAAAAGGCAAAAUGUAGCUGCGAUCUUCCUAAGCAGCACUCCAUGAGAACACAGAUGCCUCUCUUAACCUGUAUGCUCACUCGCCCUUCCAAAACAUCUUCAACAUAAAGCUUUUGGGCCCCUUACUUUCAAAGAAGCCAAUGCCGCCUGACACACCAAAGAAUGAUGGCUCCUUAUUGUUCAAAUAAUUUAAUUUAGGUCCGACCUCUCAUUUCAUGAAUGACUGGAAAGAAAGGAAUGAACACAAAUUGAAGCACAAGGAUACCAAGGGAGAGUAACAUCUCAUCUCAUUCUGGAAUUCUUACAAAAUCAAGAAUCAUUACAUACUAAUCUCAAGGGUCCGAUCAUUUCUCUCAAGAAGAUUGCACUGCCAGCCGCUGAAGAUGCUCAAAAAACACUUGAAGACUCACAUCAUCGGUGAAGAUUAUGUCUGUUCCAGCUGCCAUCUCAUGCGCAUUAUUGUACGUAGCUGACGGGUUCAACUUUGCCAGUAGGAAUCUUGCCUGAUUUAACAUUGACAAAAACUCGUAUUAGCAGCAAACUCAAGUUUGCUUGAAGGGGGAAAAUAUACAACAAAUUAGCAAUAAGACCAGCUGCAGAGCAUGUCUAGUUUUCAUCGUGAACCGUAUUGAUCACACUAUUAAUUUCACUCUUCUUUCUAUCUAAAGUGGAGAAACUGAGGGAUAAAGCUGAGGCAUAAAAUGAGGGAUAUCACUUUAAUACUGAGGCAUAAAGCAAGAGGGAUAUCAAGAAAAAAAAAAUGAUGACAGCACAAAAAUAAAAAUGAACAAAUUGAUGGAUAAAGAUAAACAGAAAAAAAAAAAACAAAUUUAUACCCAAAUAUCUCCCCAGAACCUCACCCCCAAUCCAAUCACCCCUGAAACUGACCAGCACCUUCAUUAAAUUAGUUGAAUACAUCACGAUGUCUUGCAUAUGUUUGUAGCUCAUGUUAAAACACAAUUACAAAGUACCUUGCAGAAUGUUUAAACAGACCAACCCAUUGUUGUGUAUUCCUCGUGUAUACACAAGUUUACAGAAUAAAAGUUUAUGUCAAAUAGCGAAGAGUAGAAGGUACAGAUGACUUUCAAUGAUGACAACAAUCAAGACAACCUGUCACAGUAGCAAAAGUACUCGACAGCAUUAAUUUUCGUGGACUCCUGUUACAUUUGUUUCAUAAAAGAGGUUGAGAUUGCAUCAUCACAACCAAGACAUCCUUGGCUAGGCUCCUAAGGACAUCAUAAGAGAACUCUGAAGUGCCCCAAAGGCAUGUGUACCCAAAUCCCAACUGGUGGCUUAUUAGCAUUGCAUCAUCGGAAUGAUCCUUUCUGUAUAUUCUCUUCCACCCCCUUUUCUUGCUCUAUUCUCUUAUCAGUACUGUGCUAAUAACCUAAUCUUCUGUCAAAGAAAACUUUUUCUUUGUAUUCCCCUAUGACUGAAAGCAUCAAACCUGUCUCUAUCUAAAGGAAUGACCCAACAAGAUGUAAAUCAACUGCAUUUUCUCAUUGACCGGUCUUAGAACCUUAAAAAAGCAGAUAUCAUACACACUUCUACACAGUUUUCCAUUACAGAACAGGUAUUAAUUCAUCAUAAGGGGACAAAGAAGUACAAAAUAUCACCCUGUGAUUUCGAAAGUCGGAAACAAGUACCCAAACACCAUAACAAAAAAGCAGCCUAAAUUUCCAUGAGCCAGUAAGUAUUUUUUGAAUGUUUCACCAAGCAGAGUUCCCUGCUUUCCAGAAUGAAGUAAAAAGCAAGGAUGCAGACUAAUAUAAAAUCUAGAAGAGAACAUGUAUCAAUAUCAUGGCAAGACAAUUACAGGCAAAGCUAGGAUCAAACAAAAAUAACCUGUGACCCAUGCUGAUCGCAAACCACCAAUCUGGGUGUGGGGAACCGAUCACGAAUAAUUGUCUGGGCAUCUUCUUGAGGAGCUUGCAAGAAUUGUGCAAAUACCUACAUAGAUGAUGAAGAAAAUAGUCACAAAGAAAGAAAGAAAAGGCCCCCGUACCAGGGUACACAGUUGAUCUUGUUAUCACAGCACAAUCUCAUUUCCAUAUCAAAUUAGAUACUCAUAAAUGGGAAAAUAGCGCGAAGUGAUAGCAAAGAGACCAAAGAAUUAUCAUAAGAAAAUAGAUAUCUAUCAAUACAUAAGCUCAUGUGAACCCAUAUAGAAGCAAGCUGAUAAGCUGAGUACUUACCAGGAGAAGCAAAACCAGAAAAACAUAUUCAAAAUAGAAAUUCUGACCAGUGGAAGAAGCAAAGAACAAAACGCACACAAACCUGGUGUUCUGGUUGAUUCUGGUAGCCCAUGUUUCUCCACUGAGCUAUCGUCAUCCCAUGGAAAAUUACAACACUGAAGUAUGUAUCUAACAACAGAAUACGAUCAGCUGCAAUUGAUGCCACAUCCAACAAAGCAGGUGUGGGCAAUGAAUGGAAAGAAUAUGCCAUCAGUGAUGGUUGAAUCAUAACAACGGAGUUGCUUAUGCUCUCCCGGUUGAGCAACAUGCGGAAGUAUGCCGUCUCAUCUGGACUGUUAUUAAAUACCUACAUAGAAAAGAGAGGGUUCAAGCCAAUAGGAUGAAAAUUGACAAGCUAUAAUUCUAAGCGACAUUCUAAAGCUCCUGCCUAUACCUGCACAAAUUGUGAACGCCGCAGAUUAAACAUGAAUUGAGGAAACAAUGAAAAAGAGGGAUUUAAUGUAAAUGAGGACGGGUCAUCCUUCCGGUAGUCACCGAAUUUGGCACAAAGACGAAUCAGAUUCCGAUCCAACCACCGUGUGGCAUCAAAACCAUCCUGAGAUUUAUAUCCAUCAACAACAAUAUAAAGUUACAGUCAGCAUGUAAGUACAAGAAUCAUUUACACAUUUACUUUUUAAUUAAAAUAUUUUAUUGCCCAAUAUGAAUCUGGUAUGCAAUUUAAAAUUUCUUUGCAAAGUUUUAGUGUACCACUACACAAAAUUCUACACAAUCAAGCUUGUUAGCCUAAUUCACAUAUUCUAUUACAUAAAAUAGAACUUGCAUGAGAGAGUGAAAAGAAUACUCUUGAAAACCAAUUACAUUAUACGAAGUUUCAAGUAAACCAAUUCCAGAAUCAUAAGUAAUUCACAGAUGUGCAGAAACCUUAAAUAAAUUCUACAUAUACCAAAAGUUUUCAAAAUAAGACCAAAAAAAAAGUAAAGCAACAGUGUCAGCAUCUGUUUCUCUCUCCUCUUUUUUGAUGUGUCUUUUAACAACCACCAUGGAUCAAAAAUUAUAUUUAACGAAAUGAGCUUGUUGAAUAUGCACAUGAAGGUCAUUAACAGUUUUUAAGAAAGAAAGACUACCUCAUUCUCCAUUUUAUAAGAAGCAAAUCUGGCCACUAUGACAGCAGCAGUUUCUUGGUCAAACCCUUGGACCAACUCCUGCAUGUGAAAAAUGAUUAGAUUUAACAUUGAACUGACUGCAGAACUCAAAUUUGCCUGAUAGAACAACAAACGCCACUAGACCAAAGUUGUCCACCCAAAACAAGAAAAUGUUAUUUAAAAUAGAAAUUAGGGUUACAGAGACAGGAAAAAAAUGCACGUCAAAAAAGAGCAAGUGAAACAACCAGCAUUAUACACCACCAUGUCCUUACCUCUGUGCCAAGAGCACUAUCCGCCCAUCUUUUGGUAACAGUUGUAACUCUCAACAGCGAUUGGCCUUCAGGGCUCCGGUAGCUGCAUGGACGUUUAUUAAUAGCAGAAUUUGCACCCAGACCAAAGUGACAUCACGGAUGUAAAAGUACAUGCACAAAAAAGAAGCUUAUUGUCAAGCAAACAAAAUGAGGGCCCACAAGAUAAACAAAAGGAGGCCAACUUCUAAGAAAAAAAUAACAUGCAUGAAAAGGACCCAAUACCUUGUAAGGAACUGUAGGAAUAAUUGAGGAUUUGAUCCUGAUGGAUCUGAUUUUUCACUUGACGAUAUAUCAAAGAAAACAGUCAAGCAAGUAUUCCUAUCGAGGCCACACAACUUCCAAGAUGUAGUGUUCCCUUCUCCAACAACCGUACUGGCAACAGAAGGCCCUUUCUGCAAGAUUUCCAUUCAUGGAAAAAAAAACUUUCAGUAUCAAAAUUACACAUAGUUACACUAUUCUUAAACAAAAUAGAGCACUCUAUUCAGUUAAAGGAAGUAGUGCUUCAAGAAUGAACAAACCUUCUCCAAAGAUGUGCAAGGUCCAAUGACACCUUGGAUUUUGAUGUCCUUUGAACAGUUUAUCUCGAGUGUGCCACUGAAAAGGAGUUGCAUGACUUAAAUUAUUCAGAGAAAUAACAUGUAAAGCAUAAAUGACAGAAUAUAGCACAAAGAAAAUAUUACAAAACAGUAUAGCCCUGACAACAAGCCAUAGAAUAAAAAGACGGACCAAAUAGGCAACUCUCUUAAGUUCAAAUUAAUAGCAUCUACAAGGUCAGCUGAAGUUCCAACACUUUUGGAAGACCAGCAUGUCAAAUUGGCAAAUACAAGCAUAUCUAUAAAGAUAUUGAGAGCAAAUGUCACAAACAAAAAGAUCAUCAACCUUUUGCGAUUAGUCAAUGUAAAUGUUAGACAACUCAUAGAGGAGCAAAAAUUCGGUCAUUUAAUUUGCUCCCUUCGACCAUAUUUUCCGGUUGCUUCCCACAAGCAAACUUCAAUUGCAAAAUUCUCUUCACUCCACAUAAUUAAACAGUAUCUUGCAUAAAUUCACUGAGGCAUGGAAUUUUUAAACCAAAUAGCAUUUGGUCUAAAAUGUUAAUUUAUGUACUUAAAGAUGCUUAAACUACACAUGAACUCUCCUAAUUUGUAGCACGUCCAAAAAUAACAUGCCAAAGUCGUUAAUGCAAAAUUUAAUCGAGUUCUUAUACUUAACCUAAUUUGAUGUUUCCACAAUUAAAAUGCAUCUUUAAGUUCCCUCAUUUACACCAACACCAUCUAGCCUACAAUAUGAUAAUGAAACAUAAAAAAAUUUAAGAACCUCAAAAGUUACAAAAUGCAGCAGCAAUUUAGCAAAUGAAAGAGGUGCAGCUUGAAAUCGUAAAAUUAAGAAACUCACUUAUAGGAAAGACCAAGAGACUGUUCUCCACCUUCAAAAAGUCGUUUGAAAGAGUCUUUAAAUACUGAAUGACCAAAACUUUCAGCUAAAACAACAAGUCCACCAGUUUUUUCAAUGGCAACCUUCAUCUCAGCAACCCCAACCUAAAAACUUCCUUCUAUUAGCAAAAGCAAAUAAGGUAAAAAAAUAAAGGAAAAAACUCCAUGGACAAAAUCAAUUAGAUUGAGCAUAUACACAAAAAAAGAAAAGAAAUAGCUAAACCAAGCAGCAGAGAAUCAAUGGUGACCUAAUGGAACGGAAUAUAAACACAUACUGAAAGUGUGGAUAUCCAACCAUAUAGGAAACACACCAGAUAAAUCAGCAGAAGUCAUUUAACUCCAAAUUGACAGUAGGAAAUCUUUGAAGUUGUAGAAUUUUAGAAAUUGAUUUUACAUAGUUUCUAUCUUCUUCCCUAAUGGACAAUCAAUUUAAGGAUUAACAUAUGUUUGGCUUUCUUCUUCCUCGCUACUUAAAUUAUGCAUCCUAUGCUACAGGUGUCUGGAAAAUCCUCCCUUCCAGCUACUUAUACCUUUCUAGCUCCACCAUCACACUUCAUUCAGUUUAAAAAAAAAAAAAAAGGGCUGACGUGUAAUCAGUGAAAAUUCUUUUGGUUCAAUGGCUUUGAGUGAGUGCACUAAGAUUACUGGUGUCCAACAAUCACGACAGCCCACAUUCCUUUUGUAACCAAGUAUAAUGAGGCAAAGUGUUGUAAAAGACAACAAUGAAAAUAAACACCACCUGCUUUGAUUAAGAGUUUCAUAUCUCUCAUGUAAGACUUAUUGAGAAAGCAGUAAAGACAAAAUGAAACAAAAAAAUGGUAGAUGAGCAAAAGCAAUUUCCACUGAUGAGCUCCAGCAGUAUGCAUCUAUAGCAUGUGAAUCUAAGUAAAACCCAUCUUUUGAAAUACAGGCUAUAAGAAAUGGUGUUACAGCCUCACAGAAGUAUAAAGUUAAUUAUCUAAGAUGAAUAAUGAGUGCUGAGUCGCGACAUACAAACCUGAUCAAGAGCAGAUGCAAAAACAUCCAAGACAUGACCCUCACUGACAAGUUGCUUAGCUAGCUCUUCAUAGAAAUGAACAGCUUUUUUGAAAAAUGGUGCAGCAUCCUUGUCUAAAUCCUUAUGUGAACGAACUGGAUCUGAUAGAUCCUUGGAAACAAUCUGGAAAAAGAGGCAUAUGUCAGCUAUUUAUAGUAAUCAAUAGUCAAGACUCAAUUUAUUGAACCCAAACAAUUAGAACUGAUUUGUUCAGACAUUGAAUAGUUCAUACUUUCAGUCCUUACCCCUGGGACAUAAGUCUAAAAAAUGCUUUUCUGUACUGCUCUAGGACCACCAUACCAUGAACAACAUAAGAAAGAGAACCAAAGAAAAACAAGUAGUAUUACAAAUAAUCAAGAAGCUCAAUUUCAAAUAACAGCAGCUAUUGCUCAGACACCCCAAAGUUGUUAAACCAAUCAGAACCCCAAUACUUAAACAAAUUUGAUCUUUUCAUUCAUCUUGAAAAAAAAAUUACAUUUUCCAUCAAUGAAGCUACAGUUAAAACCAUUUACAAUAUAAAACACAGUUACAACAUUUGUGCACAGCAAUACCAGAGGGUUUUUCUUGCACAUGAUCUUAAUCAGCUUGUGUAGUAUUGCUAUCCAUGACCAGUAGACAGGUGUGCAACUGCCAUUGAUUCCAAAUGGGAAGUGAGAUAAGCUUUUCUUUUUCUUUUCCCUUCCCCCAAAGUGAUUCAGGAAAUGCCAAUUACAUAACCAUGCAGACUCAAAAGACUCCCUAAAAUCCAACUUCAUGACGUCGUUACCAGAUAAUAAUGAAAAUAGAUACAAAUCUACACUUUCUACAUUGUCAUCACUAAAACUUCUUCCUUUUUUACCGUGACAGCAAGGAUGUUCAAAUGAAAUCCGAUUGAACUUGUCAAUCAACAGCACACCAUAUGCAUAAAUGAAAAAAAGAAAAUCAAAUUCUAACCAGUAAUAAUAGAAAUUAGAAAGACCAGAAGAAGCUUUACCACUCCUGGCCCUUCAGUACAUGGUCCACCAACUAAAGCAACAAUUCUUGCGCUUUGACCAGCUGCGCAAACUCCAAGCAAACCAGCUGCAACACUCAAUGCAACUCCUGUACACCGUAACGACCUGCUCCCAGGUGGCACCAGCCAUCGAUCCGUCCCCAACUCAUCCAAUAGCUACAAAAAAAAGGCAGAAUCAUGACGCAGAUUCAUCCCAAGUAAAGUAAUUCCCUACAAUAACCAACAAAUUCCAUAAAAACACGCACCGAAUUGAGCGUAUAUUCGCACUCAGAAGCAGGCAACAGGAAUCUAGAAAAACCGGGAUUCGGCAUUCCUACAGGGCUACCUCCAACUCUCUGAAUUCCAGGCAUUGGCCGUCGUGCUGCCCCAAUAACACCAAGUCCCAACUGCUCCAAAACCUGAUCUUUCGUCAAAUCCUUAGACCCUCUAAAAACAUACACCUUAGACAAUUCCGAAAACCCCAGCUCGUGAACCUGCACCUGCGUCCCAAACGAUAUAAACCCAACCAAAGCAUUAUCAGGCAACAUCCCAAUAGCCCUUUUCAACGCCGAUUUCGCAAACUCCAAUUCCUCCUCGAGGACACAAGUAUCCAAAACGAACAAAUAAACAGCCGAAUUCGGCUCGAAAAAGUUAGGGUUUUGAUUAGGGUUUUGAUGGUGAUGAAUCGGCUGCAGGGUGGGGAGGGUAUACUGAAUGGUGGUGAAUUGGGGGUAGAGCUCGGCGGGCAUAUUCGUCUCCGAAAUUGCGUUGUAAUGCUGGGGAAAAUGAUUCCGAGAGAAACAAAACGGGCAGAUCCAAACUAGACCUUGGAAAUCGACGCGGCAAAAUGGGUUGAGGACGGCGGUGCAGGUUUUACACUUGAGCGGCGGGUAUGGGAGGGUGAGGACGUCGGGAUGAGAUCGGAUCGGAGAGAUCGAGGCCGCGAGUGGGAUCACGCACUUGCUCAAUUCGACUUUGGUCCGUGGCCAGACGUUCCACGUCAUCCGAACUCCGUCGAUUCCUUCUGGAUCCAUCUGAGCCAUCUCCGUCGCCAUAAUUCAAUCGAAUUCUCGGUGAUCGGAGGAUUUUUGCUCUUUUUUUUCGUUCUUUUUGAAUUAAAGAAUUUAUUAGGGGAUUUAUUUAAGGGGGUAUUCAGGGGGCCCCGGGCUGCCGGGAAGAAGAAGAAGAAGAAGCAGAAGAGAGUCAAAAGAUGGAUGAGGGGUAAGUUUAGUGUGUGUGUGUGUGUGUGUGUCUGUGUGUGAGACAGCGAGUGAGGUGGAUUUUUGGGUGUGAUGACGUUGGGGCUUUUGGUGUUGGAUCUCUUUUGCUAACGUUUAUUUUGUGCUUAUUUACAAUUUUUUGUCAAGUCUAUUUUUCCCUUUUGUUUUGGGGUAAAAGUAAAAGUUUUUUAUUAGAUAGCCAAAUAAAAAGGUUUUAAUACAUGCUUGAUAGAAUAGUACUCACUAGCUAUUGAGGCGCAUUCAAUGCGCGUGCAAUUUAUUAAAAAAUAUUUUUAAUUGUAAGAAUCAUAAAAAUAGUACCAGUGAAUAUGGCUAUUUUAUGUAAUAUAUGAUAAAAAGUGUAUAAUAUAUAAAUAUGUACAAUUGGAAAUAAAAAAAAACCAUUGAUAAGAAAGAAUGUGAGAAUUGGACGAAUGUAUUUUUGAUUGAGUAGAAUUUGUAUGUCAGCUGAUAUUUAAGACAAGGGUUAAUGGAUAAUAAAGAUAAUAGAGAUGGAUAAUAGAAAUAAAGAUAAAUUUAGAAACAAAUAAAGUUAACACCAAUUUAACCACCUACAUAGAUUUUAUUAUUGUAAAGAAAUGAUACUUUUAAGAAUGGGUAAUAGUUCAUAUUGUGUUAAUUCAACCGUCGAAAUUAUCUGAUUUUUAAGAAUGGUGGAUAAAAAAAUUUAAAUAAACCUUAAAAUAUUUAGAUUUUUUUAAAUAUUUAGAUUGUAUACUGUUGACCAAUGAAUUAGUUUUAUUUUUUACAACUCAUUUAGUUUAUGAAAAAUGUAACUACAACUCCGACUUCAUAGGUAUUGGGACAUAGCACGAAGUGCUUUCUUUAUUUGAUGUUAAAUUUGUUAUUCUUUAUUUGAUUAAAGAUUACUCAUAUUAAUUCAUGAAGAGAUGCAUAUACAUAUAUAUAUAUAUGUAUGUAUGUAUGUAUGUGUAUAUAUAUAUAUAUAUAUCCAUGAAAGAGGAAGGAGGAAAAAGAUUCGAGAAGUAAUUACAAGAGAAAGAAGAAGACAAUAAGAGAGAAAGAUAAAACACAAACAAAAAUUAUGUAUAAUAAAACAAUUUUGAGUUAACAUAAAUAAAUCUAAAAUUAAUGGAAUUGAAUAAAUAUAAUGGAAAAAGUAAACUAACUGACUAUUAGUAUAUCACUUUUGUGACUUGAGUGGACAAUUUGAAACAAUAAAUGAUUAAUUCGGAACGUGUAAUGUAAAUAGUUUGAUUACUCAUCUUUGUUUGAAUGUUUAUCUUUUAAGAUGCAUUUUGAAAAAUUUUCUGAAUUUCUUUAACUAAAUCACACCCAACCUAUUAUAUAAGUACACACAUUAAUAUUUAUUACACCCCCUUGCAUUUAUACACAUUAGCUACUUAACUUUAUUUUUUUAAUUCAAUUGGCACUAACUUAUUUUUUCUGUAUCACCUUCAUUGGAAUAGACUUCAUGAGUUAAAGAAUUGUUUAGAGAACAUGUAAAGACAAAUUAAAACAACUCCUCGUCCAAACAAGGGUCCUCCUCUAUUUGGAUGGUCAAGUUUUAUGGAAAUUAGUGGGAAAAGAACAAAAUUGGAAAUUUUUUUGUUGCAAACAAAAUAAUAUUAUGAACUUUUGUUUUGCAAACAAAAGAAGAAGUUAAUAGAAGUUAAUAGAAGUUAAAAUAGUGAAAAUUAUUGGAAGUUUGUGAAUUUUAGUGGUUAUCAUCUUUACUUUUGAAUGGUAACUUUUUUUUAAAAAAAAAAAGGUGAUAAAAAAUUUUAACACCUAACUCAUAUCUCAUGCUUUAUAUGUGUGUGUAUAUAAAGAUGCUUUGAAAUUCUUUAAAUACAUUUCUCAAUCAUUUUUUCCUCGCAUACACAUUUGCUGAUAAGGCACUACACAAAUUUUCCUAAAAACAUCGAACAUGUUUCAUGUUAUUAGUGGUGGGAACGCGUUGAAUACCUGUUUCGUGCACCAUUUGGCUGACGUGAUCCGCACUUGUUGGUUAGUCAUUUCCUGACUCUUACCUAAUAUGGGUACUCAGUCACUGGAUAUCUAUUGAGAUAGGAUCGGACCAACAAGUACCCUCCAACCCUGCCCUGUUUAUUAUUUAAUUUUUUUAAAAAUAAUUUAUAAUAAUUUAAUUUUAUAUCUUAUAUAUUCAUUUAAGAUUUAACAAUUUCCUCAAAAGAAGUCUCCUACCAAGAAACAAGUAUGCAAAGAGAAUACAAGAAAAAGUAAAAAAAAUUAAAAGAAUUUAAAAUCAAUAAAAAUUUGAAAUAAGUAGUACCUUUUUAAAAUAUAUAUUCCACAUCAAUUAAACUCUUUCCUAAAAAAAAUAUAAAAUCAGGUUCUCUACAAAUAAAUCUCGUAAACAAAUUAUAGUCCUCCAUAUUUGUAGUGUAAUUCGCUCAAUAAAAUUACUUAAUUAGUUCUAAAAAUAUUAUUUUAUAGUAUGUGUAUAAAAUAAAUAAAUAAAUAAAUAAAUAAAUAUAUAUAUAUAUAUAUAUAUAUAUAUAGUAUGGGUCCAGUACCUAUGGGUUUUUAAUCUUAUGAUCAUACCCCGUCCUGUAUAUAAGCAAAUACCCGACCAUUUUUUGAUCCAAUCAAUUAAUGUGAAUUAGAUACCCUUUUUUUUGGAUCGAAUCGAAUAUAAUGGGUUUUCGAAUCAAUGGAUAUUUUUGUCCAUCCCUACAUGUUAUACAACAAACCACCAACCUUUGGGCUGGUGGCCACCACCUAACUUGGUGGGGUGGGAGGCAAGGGGUGUUUGUCACAUUUAAGUGGUUUGCUUCAAAAAAUUCAGGCGGGUGUGUUGUGCACCCGUUUGGUCCGGUGGUGGUUUAGUCCCCUCCAGAUUAUCCCCGGACCUUUGUGUUGUGAACUACAGAGAGUGUUCUCUACAUUAAUAUCCAUCAAAAGCAUAUCCAACUAUGUCAUGGAGUAAUGCUUUAAGAAUGUUGAAGAAAUUCCCUUCAUGACGGAGCCAGCACUUAAUUCUAGUGCUUUCAAACUGAUCCCUAAAGCCCUCACCUGGCCACAUAAGCACCAUGGCCUUCUUCGAGAAGAAAUCCAAGAGAACGCACAGCAGGGUGAGGAUCUUGGACUAUACAUCCACACUAGAUUGUCACGCGAGUGGUUCCAUUCCCAUCUCUCAUGUCUAUUCCCACGAGUAGUUCAAGCUCAUGGCCCUGCAAGACAUUACAACCAUUGUUCAAAGUCGCGCUCGCAGUUGCGACCGCGGCUUGGAUCGUUCCACAUCGGUUUCGACAUAUCGGUCGCGGUUUUGGCAAGACGCGAAUUUGUGAAAUAUUUAAUAUUCUAAAAAUUGUAAAAAAUAUGAUAAACAAAAAUAAUUAAAAAUUUUAGUAAAAAUAAUAAAAAUUCAAGUUGACUCGGGAUGACUCGGAGUGACUCAGUGUGAUUCGGCCGUUUCAACCUUUUACAGUGACGUCUCGGUCUGUCACGUAUCUCGGAAACGUUUCGUCGUGAUCUUGUCUCGGACUAGGCCGAGACCGAGACGACUCGGCCGGCCGAGUCUUCGAACCAUGAUUACAACACUUUCUCAGUUAAUUUAUACAACAUUCUGUAAUAAUCAAUAACUAAGAGUGCAUUGUAAAAGGUCAUCUAGGAAACCUGUUGAUAAGAUAGAGGGUGUAUCAUUGCACCACUGACUUCCAAGAAGUAAUCUGGGCUUAUGGAGCGAAGAUCUUGAACCUAAGCUAUUAAUAUAACAAAUGAGAUAUACAAGAUAGAGGAUCAAGCAAGCCACAUUAGACGUGCCUAGAAGAGCGCCAGUACAGAAUCAUAUUAACUGUAAUAAUCAGUAACUUAAUCCUAUUAUUAGUCUGCAUGCAUGAAACAUAAAACCCAAGAACCCCAAAAAAAAAAUGGAAUCCAUCACAUUGAGGAAUUUAACUGGAUCUGUUUGAACUAAAUACUUUCAACCAUUCAAGGUGAAAUAUUUUCACUGCCAUGCUCAUUGUAGAUGCACAAAAGCAAAGGCAACAGGGAAACUUCAUCUCAAAGGUUAAAUUUCUCAGGAUCAGUGAAAUGUAAAGCCAAGAACGAAUUUAUGUACUUAGCACUAACUGAAGACUUGUUUCUGCGACAAUCCAAAAAAAUAGAGAUCAUGACAAGAAAAUCUAAACCAUGAAAUUAGACAACACUACAAAACUGACCACCAAGUUCAUGACGACUGAUUUGCCACCCCUUUCAAUAUGCAGUUCAACAUUCUCGUUGACACUGUCAUCAAAUAAAGUCUCCAUCUUCAGGAACUGGGUAAUUACCUGCAACGUGUUUCCAAUGUCAACAAAUAAUUCAAUGGAUUAUCAUGCAUGAGUUCAAGAGGUUAUCAUGAUUACCAUGAAAAAUACAUAUCCAGUAACCAAACGGAGUCCUAGAAAAGUAAUCUCGACUAUUUUGUCUAGGCCUUUGAAACUGAAUUGUUUCAUCAGAAGAAGACCCAAUAGCAUUUCUCCUCUUUGCAGCGUUACACUCUCGACGACGAAGAAGGAGAUCGGCCUUCUCAUUAUUCGGCAUUUCUGCAUACCUUUUACGUCUUCUGGCAUUUUUAUCUAUCUUUGGAUAAUAUAGAUUGAAAAGAUAACAAAAGAAGAGGCAAGAACACAAGAGCCUUUAAAAACAGAUUUAAAAGAAAACAAAAGGUUGUACAACAUACACAAAAGAAAGAAUGGUUUAAAAAAUUCUAAAAAAAGGGACAAAGAUAGCACAGACCGUUUAAAAAUGAUCAAGAAGAAAAAGCUCUACAACCCUGUCGUAACAAGCACAAUAGGAGAAUACACAGUAUUUCUUUAAAAGGAAUGUACUAGAGUAAAUACCUGAAACAAGAGCUGCAACAAAGGAAAACCAGAAACCAGGUGAAGUAGCUAAAACCAAGCUGCAUAAUAAAAAUGAAGCAAAAGUCACUAAUGAUAAAGCAGAAAAUUUUAUCAGACCAAGGCUAAAACAAGCACCAAUGCACUAACCAGUGAGGAAAACAAAAGUUAGAGACAAAAAUAAAGAGUAAGGAACAGUAAAGCAAAAAAAUUAUAAUACAGCAGAGAGGAGAACCUAAUAGCAACACAGAAAAGGUGCUAAAAACACACAAACAGAGCUGAAACACUAACUAAUUCAGCAACAACUACAGCCAUUCAGCAAGCAGCAGAUCGGGUAAUUCUAAAGUGUAAACCACAACCAAAAUCUAAAUAAACAUAAACCUAGCAAAAAAACCGAACAAGGCAAUUUGAUGAGUAGACCGUCUAUUGUUAUGGUACAAAUAAUAAAGUUGAAGCUACGAUAUCAAAGAAGAAAACCAAGGAGGACAACAAAAGUAUAGUAAAUACACAAAAAAGCUAGCCAAGAACAACAAUUCAACUACAAUAAUGCACAUUUUGCAAACAUCCCAUGAACAGAUUUGAAAGGAAAAACACUAAGAUAAGCAGAAGAAAACUAAUGGAGAAAACAAAUCACGCAGGGUAGACAUAAAUAGUAGCAUACAUCUAGCAAAACAUGCAUAAGUUCAUUUAAGAGAUAAAAAUGCAGUCGAAACAAAGAUAAAAGUAGAAAAGGAAAAACAUACAGGACACAGUAAAAUAGCUUCAUAAAACUACAGAAGAGCUCGUCCAACAUUGUCAAAUGGCGAACAAGAAGAAGAAGCAACAUAAAAAAUAGCCACUGUCAUAUCAAUUAAUAACAAAGAAACUUGGAAAAGCAACCGAUUUCAUCGUUACAAUCACUUAAGCCUGGGAAAGAAUGACAAAAUGCUGGAAAAAAUGUACGACACCUCAUCCACAGAGGUCUCUUGCCGACCUGCCCCAAGAAGGAGCUGAAUUUCUGGUUAACCCAAUCAGAUGUGGCAAAUCCCACAUUACCAAUACACCUCUCAAAAAAAGCAAAAACUCCAAAAUACUUAAAGGCUCCAGAUGUAAACAGGGACAAACCAGAGUGCUAAAACUGUAACUUCACCGGGUUUUUGAGCCCAACCACCACAAUAGCAAGCCAACUACUUCAUUGUUUCGCAAGUAGGCCACGUCCAGCACAUGAAGUUGCGUCCAAUGGAUUUCGUGCCCACCACAUGAAGCCCACGUCCAGGAGGAAACCACCAAAGCCAAUUCACCAUCCAUGUCAUGACAAGCCAAUCACCUACCGCCACAUGGGCGAACGAUGAUUCCUACGUAGCAAGGGGGCUUUCACCCUUAGCCUAUAUGGUUAAUAAUUCAUAUUUUAUAAAAUAAAAUAGAACUUUAAUUGAUUAAAUGAGUGUUUCUUUGAAUUGUUAGCAUCUUCGAUAAAUUGAUAAAUUAAUAAUUUAUCAAUUAAUUAAUAUCUCUUUAAAUUAAUAAAAUUUGUAUGGUCACAAUGUUAUUAGUCUAUAAAUGUUUACUGUAAUUAGAAAUUUAGUAUAGAUGUAUUAAUAAAUUUAGUAUAACUAAUUAAUAAUUUCUAUUAAUAUACAUGUAUAAUUAUUAGUAUAAUUGAUAAUAUUAAUUAUAUUACAUAUAAACUAAUAUACAUUAAAUAAUAUUUAUAAUAAUAUUAUUAUAAAUUUAUGAUUAAUUAAAUUAAAUAUAUAUAUAUAAUUAUACAUUUAAAUUUUUUUAACGAAUGGCGGAGCGAUGAAGGGUGAGACAUACUUAGAACUGUUAAAUGAACCGAGCUGUUUAGUAGCUCGGCUCGUUUCGACUCAUUCGUGUUCGUGAAAGACUCGUUUAAAACCUUAAACGAACCAAAUUCGAACGCAUUUUUUUGUUCGAUUAAUAAUUGAGCGAAUAUGAGCAUGUUUGCGAGUUUUAAUAUAAGUUCGCAAACACGAGCAGGUUCGCGAAUUUUAACGAACGUUCGCGAAAAUGGACAUAAUUAUCAUUUGACAAAUUUUAGGGUUAAUUUUAUGGCUGGAUUUUUAUAUUUGGAGGGCAAAUUGCUUUGUUUUAUUUGUUGUUUUUAUGUUAAUGUUAGUUAUAUAGUUAAUGAAUAAUAGAAUUUAGUCACUUAGUGCUUUAAUUGUUUUUGAGAAUAAUUAAUGAUUUGCAUGGCAUAUUUAACGUUUAAAAUAAUUUGGAAUCGAGUAUUUCGAGUAUUUUCACGAGCGGCUCGUUUAACACAAACUCGAAUUCGAAUACGAACUUUGCUUAACAAACCGAACACAAACACAGGUUUGGAGUUCAAAAAUUAACGAACAAACACGAACGUUGUUCGAAUCGUUUAACGAACAAAAUUCAAACAUGAGAUACUCGAUUUGAUUCGGUUCGUUGACAGCUCUAAGCAUACUUCCCUAUCCCUGGCCCUGUUUUCUAGUCGGGGCGGCCCACGCCCCGACCCAUCAGCCCCAGCAGGCAGGCAGGCAUUCGUCCAAUUGUCAUACCUAACCUGACCGAACCCGGAUUAAACCCGAAUAAUUCCCCCGUUUCCGCCCAAGCUGCCCAUUGAUUUUCAUUUUUCACCAAAUACAAAUUUUCACCACACACUGGGUUUAGGGUUUUAGCUUGCUCAUCCCCCGAGGUUUUCUGGACGUCAGAAUAUGAUUUUUCGCAGUCUUCUGCUCUCCAAGAAUCUGAAUCCCACAAGGUAUUUACUCAAAGGUUCUCAUUCCUUGACCAGAAUUUCUAGUGUUGGUUCAGAAUUUGUUCCAUUAGUUAAUUGCAAUAGCAUAGUAAAGUUCAGAUUUUUAUCCUACUUGCGUUCUUUAAAUUCAGUUCCCUAUGAAAAAUGUGGGUUCUCCAUUUCCAAGAACCCAAAUUUUAUAAGAAACUAUUGCUCAGGAGGGGAUAAUAGUGGUGAGGAGUCAAAUGAGUGGACUGGAGAAAUAGAUUAUUUGGAUGAAUCAGGUGGUGUCAUUUACUCUGGAAAGGGUGUAAGAUCUGUUGAGCCGGGUAUAGAUGAUCAUGUGAUGGUGGGAGGGUUAAAGAAGCCUAUUUUGAAUGCUUCAGCUGUGGCUAAGAUUGUUGAGAUAGUGAAAAGGUGGAAAUGGGGUCCUGAUAUGGAGACCCAAUUGGAUAGGCUUCAGUUUUUGCCUAACAUGACUCACAUUAUUCAGUCAAUGAAGAUUAUUAGCGAUGGUGAGGCUUCGUUGAGCUUGUUUCGGUGGGCCAAGAGGCAAUCUUGGUAUUGUCCGACUGACGAGUGUUAUGCUGUGUUGUUUGAUAUGUUGAAUGAGAGUAGGGAUUAUGAUGGGAUUCAAUCAGUGUUUGAUGAUAUGGUUCGUGAUUCAGGUGAAAGUGGUAUAUCUUCAUUUAGUGCGUAUAAUCGGGUUAUUCAGUCAUUAGCAAAGGCUGAGAAAUUGGAGGUGACUUUCUGUUGUUUUAAGAAGAUGAAAGAAGUUGGUUGUAAGGUUGAUACACAGACGUAUAAUUCAUUGAUAACAUUGUUUUUGGAUAAGGGUUUGCCGUUUAAAGCUUUUGAGAUAUAUGAGAAUAUGGAAGAAGUUGGGUGUUCCUUGGAUGCAUCAACUUACGAGUUGAUGAUUCCAAGUUUGGCUAAAUCAGGCCGUCUUGAUGCUGCUUUGAAGCUCUUCCAAGAGAUGAAAGAAAAGAACUUCCGACCAGGUUUUGGGGUUUUUGCUGCACUUGUUGAUUCAAUGGGUAAAGCUGGUAGGCUGGACACGUCCAUGAAAGUGUAUGUGGAAAUGCAAGGUUUUGGACUCAGGCCGUCUGCCACUACAUUUGUUUCUAUGAUUGAGUCAUUUGUUAAAGCUGGGAAGCUGGAGACUGCUCUCAAGCUAUGGGAUGAGAUGAAGAAAGCCAGGUUUAGACCUAAUUAUGGGCUCUAUACUAUGAUGGUUGAGUCCCACGCAAAAUCUGGAAAGCUUGAGACUGCCAUGUCUCUCUUUUCAGAUAUGGAAAGGGCUGGAUUUUUUCCCACACCCUCUACCUAUUCUUCUCUUUUGGAGAUGCAUGCUGCUUCUGGUCAAGUUGAUGCUGCCAUGAAGCUCUAUAACUCUAUGACAAAUGCAGGUCUUAGACCAGGGCUCAGUACCUACACAGCCUUGCUGUCUCUCCUGGCAAAAAAGAAGCUUGUUGAUGUAGCUGCAAAGGUUUUACUUGAAAUGAAGGCCAUGGGGUAUUCUGUUGAUGUGAAUGCUAGUGAUGUUCUUAUGGUGUAUAUCAAGGAUGGUUCUGUUGAUCUAGCUUUGAGGUGGCUACGGUUUAUGGGCUCAUCUGGGAUUCGCACAAACAAUUUCAUUAUUAGGCAGCUCUUUGAGUCGUGUAUGAAGAGUGGAUUAUAUGAGUCGGCCAAGCCUCUUCUUGAAACAUAUGUGAAUGCUGCUGCUAAGGUUGAUCUUGUACUUUACACAUCAAUUCUUGCCUAUCUUGUAAGAUGCCAGGAAGAGCAUAAUGAGAGGCAUUUGAUGGCCAUCUUGAGUGCUACGAAACAUAAAGCUCAUGCUUUCAUGUGUGGUCUCUUCACAGGGCCAGAGCAGAGGAAGCAACCAGUUUUAUCUUUUGUGAGGGAAUUCUUUCAGGGAAUCGAUUAUGAGUUAGAAGAAGGAGCUGCCAGGUACUUUGUCAAUGUUCUUCUUAACUACCUUGUUCUGAUGGGACAGAUAAAUCGUGCUCGUUGUGUAUGGAAAGUUGCAUAUGAAAACAAGCUUUUUCCCAAGGCAAUAGUGUUUGAUCAACACAUUGCCUGGUCCCUUGAUGUUAGAAACUUGUCAGUUGGGGCUGCUCUUAUAGCAGUGGUACACACCCUUCACAGGUUCAGGAAGAGGAUGUUAUACUAUGCGGUCGUCCCAAGGCGGAUCAAAUUAGUAACUGGGCCAACUUUGAAGAUUGUUAUAGCUCAAAUGUUAAGUUCUGUCGAGUCACCCUUUGAAGUUAGUAAAGUUGUUCUGAGAGCCCCAGGGGAUUCCGUCCUGGAGUGGUUCAAGAAACCGAUAGUUCAGCAAUUCCUUCUGAAUGAGAUUCCAUCAAGGGCUGAUAUUUUGAUGCAUAAACUGAACACACUUUUUCCUAGUUCUGCACCCGAAAUUAGAUCCCUAUCCCCUCCAAAGCCUCUUCUUGCAGGGAAGGCUCUAUAGUCAUGGAUAAGUUGUUAGCUUGGUCAGGCAUCAUUUGUUUGUAAUAUAGAAUUAUAAGUUACAUUUUUGUUUGUUUAAAAAAGCACUUGACAUCUACAUAGAAAAUCGCAUGUUAGUGUACAUGAGAAAAUACCUUUAGAAUUUCAACUUCAGCUUUUCAAAAAUAUCUUUGCAAUAGAGGCUUCCUGGUUUCAGAUUGGUGGCAGCUAGUUCAUAUACAUAAUAAUUAACUGAGUAACAUUUAAUAGUUUAAUCUGCAGACAGCAAUUUUAUUUUGCUUCACUUAGAUGCUAAAUUGUGUUCAGGGGUGAUAUUUGCAUUAAUACUGGUCAUGCCUUAUCACUCAUUUACUUUGUUAAUAAGACCAGCUCUUAUCACUCAUUUACUCCCGCCCUUACCUUUUUUCUCCUUAUCUAAAGGCAUAUUUACCAUGUUAUGCUCUAGUUCUUAGUAAUGCUCUCUAAUCCCUAGUGAAACUACAAAGCACGUCUUUAAGCUCAACAUACUUGAUAUGCACAGCUGAUUAUCAAUGUAUUUCCAGUAAGAGGCUUCUCUGAAAACAAUGUCUGCUGCUGACCAUCCCUAUGUUUCCCACCUAUGUUUCCCAUCAAGGCUUCUUGGGAAAAAUGUCUUUAAGCUCAACAUACUUGAUAUGCACAACAGAUUAUCCACGUUUUUCCGCUAAGAGGUUUCUCUGGAAAAAAUGUCUGCUGCUGACCAUCCAUAUGAUUUCCAUUGAGGCUUCUUGGGAAAAAUGUCCGGUCAGGAGGAAGUAAAUCAGGUUAAGUAAUUUUAAACUGCUGCUAGGAAUCAGCAACAACUGCAAUGCGAAGUACUUGGCAGUGGCAGGGCUGCUGACAUGAGCCAGAUUCCUCUUUUCUGCUGCCAUCCGGUAAGAUUUAUCCCAGAUUUUAGUUUUUCAUGGACGCUAUUCUAUCUCGAAAGCCUCAUUUACGCCUAGACUACUGAAACUGUAACUUUUUUCCUUGUGAUUUACCAGACCAUGAUAUGUAUCAGGCUGUUAAAAUUGGAAGUGUCGAGGAUCACUUCCAAGUGACAAACAGGCACGAGUUGCAGUAGCCCAGACUAUAGAAGAUAAUCAAAAUUAAGAGUAGACAAAAUUUGUGCUCCCUCUGUAAGUUGCAUGCUGCUUCUGUUAUCCACUGGUUUUACUUUACUUGUCUUCAUCGACCAAGAUAGGGUCUUGUACACAUACCUAGAUGAUCACAGCAUAUACAGAUACAAUAUAUACAGUACACAUAAAAGUUAUCAGUUGCCUGUGUUCUCAGGUACCAUUUGAUCCACUGAUGAUCAAACACAUUUUCAGGACAUGGUCAAUUCUGCUGAAAACGAUAGGUUGGCUGGAAAUUCAGAUUUUACUCUUUGAGAGGAGGAGGACGUUUGGCUAUAGGAUUUCUUGACGAAUGGUCCGUGUAACCUGGGUUGUUCAAAGUUCAAACUGGUUUAUGGAACUUAGAUAUAUACAUUCCAAGAAUAGGGGUGAAUUAUGUGAUAUUGGAAAAGUGAAUUGCUAUGAUUUUCGUCAUUUAAUCCCAUGUCAUAUUGCUGCUGAAAAGCAAGAUUUUUGUACAACUUUACAGAUGCAGGGCUAAGAGUCUGAUUUACCUCCUUGUCUUGGCCUUCCACAGAUAAUAAACUCUGGCAGAAAGAGCAAGCCUUCUGUUGUCCCACAAAAUUCUGCUGCAAAGCUUCCUGGGAUAGCCAAGGCCCAAGGCAACUAUGGAUUCCAAAGAUAUGACUUCAUUUGUGGAACCUUUCGUCAAUCAGAAUAAAGUUGAAUUCUUUUCAAGAAGCAAUGCAUUCUAUUCUUUCCCAUCCAACAUGAUUUUAAACUUCAAUAUGAAAAACUAGUAUUGCAUUACAUUCUUUAACCACUCCUGCCCAUAAAAAACAAUUUAAGGUCAGGUAAAGAAUGAAGUAUCUAUUAGAAAAAGAGGCUUAAAACUAAAAUAAAGAAAAAAAAGGAAUGAAGAAUCAACCUCAUUUGAGCCAAUGCAGUUUUGAUUUAUCUCACUUCCCUCCCUCAAAAAAUGUUGUGGCAUGUAACUAUCCCUUCAUUGCUCAGUGGCCACCAAAAAGGGACUAAAGUCCCUCUUUAGAUUGUAGGUCAGAGGUUAGAACUCUAUCUGUAGUAAAAACAAUUCAAAGGAGGUGUCAGAACACCCUUUUGGUGUAGCAGGUUCUUAUUUCUAUUAGCUCUUUAUACAUAAUCUCUUUAGGCUCUCCUCCUCUUAGAUUAGGAUAGACUAGAUUAUAAAAAUGUUAUCAAAAAGGGACUUCUUUGGACUGUAGGUCAGGGUUUGAACCUUACAUGUUUUGAAAAAAAUUCAAAGGAGGUGUCAGAACACCCCUUUAAUCUAGUAGAUUCUUAUAUCUAUUAGUCCUUAUACAUAAUCUCUUCAGGCUCCACUCCUAGAUUAGGAAAGAUUAGAUUAUAGAAAUGUUACGGUUGCCAUAAAAAAAAAUGUAACUACCCUUUCAUUUUCUCCAACUAUUCACAUAAACUUCCAUUUCAUAUAUUCUGUCCACAAUUGCUUAAAAACAAUUAAUGUACUUUAGUGCUAUAUUUUAGUAUUCGAUUUGCUAGGAGACAGAUUGGUCAAGUAAUCGUGCGAGUUAAAUUUAUAAUUCACGUGAUUGUCUUUUGUCAUAGGGACUAAUCACAAUAGGUAGAAAUUCAAAGUCUAAUUGGCAUAUUCUUGAGCAUAACACAAUAGAUAGAAUUUUGCAAAUUUGUUAUUUUUAGUACACAUUUAUCGUGCCAAUCAUGCGGAUUUCUGUCGUGCUGGUCCAUUUCUAAUAAUUUCGUUAAUGAAAUUCACUUUUUAUAUAAAAAAAUAUUGAAUUUAUCUUAUGGAAAGCCAGACUUCCUCCUCAAAAAAAAAAAAAAAAAAAAAGUCUUUCGCAAGAAGAGGGGAAUAUAUGCCAUUUCAUAGAACCAAAAGAACUAAAAAAAAUAGUAAUUGAAAAUUACUAUCUUUGAAAAAUACAUACUCUCUUUAUUACUACAAUUAUGCAAAGAGACAUCGGGAAAUAACAAUUCCCAUACCAACAAUAUUGUUUGAAAACAAGGCAGUAUUUGCUAUUGGCAUUUUCUUUGAUUUUUUUUUUUUAAUUACGCGAACGACAAAUAUAAGGCUGUAUCUCACGUCUAUUACAAUGACCUAAAUUUCUAUCAAGUUCUAAUUUGAAUGAUAUUCAAUAGUAUUUAUGUCUUUUUACAUGAUGAAGAAAAUCCAAAGUGCCAAUAUCAAGCCCCUUAUGUAAAAAUACACUGUAGUCUUGCCAAAAAGAGAAAAAGAAAACUUGGCCAUUAAAUUCACAAAGAACAAGGAAAAAAAAAAAGAGAAUGCUCUUUUAGUUAGUACAAAAGAACAAGCAAAAAAAAAAAAGAGGAAAGAAUAACAAGAACUUAUAACAAAUCGCUCAAAAAUGAAAAAAAGAACUUACAACAAAUCAGAUUAAAGGUACGUUUGCUAAAAUUGAAAUCUAAAAAUUAUUAAAUUAUUAAAUAUUAAAAUUUUAAUAUUUGAACGUAUUUAAUAUUAAGUCAUGAGUGACCAGUUUAUCAUUUUUUUAGAACAAAUUUUACUUAAACAAUUCAGACCAGUUAACUAAUUAAUAUAUUCUAUUUUUUGUUACAAAAUACGUCUCAACAUAUUAAGGCCGAAAUAUAUUAAAUUUAGUUUAAAUAAAAUAUUAAAUUGAAUUAUUAAAUCAGGCCUAAUCCUUUUUAUUGGGGUUAUUAUUGAAUUUAACAAGAUUAAUGAUUCCCUCCCAAAAUCUGGAAUCGUCCUUUUCAUUGACUGUCAUAACUAACUACCCAUUGGCACCAAAGUCUUCAGAACUCUCCAGACUCCAUCUUGUUCACCACACUCUAACAAUAGAUCCCUUAAUAUUUAUCCAGUCCUAGAACUCUCUAGACCUCCCCAACUCAAUUAAACUCCUAGUAUUUAAAUUCUGAAAGAUCCAAAACCCUUUGUCUGAGGAACAGUAUUCAGCCUUCAGUUGUCUCUUGCAUUUUCUUGCUACCUAGUACUCUGGUAAUUUGAAAUCUUCUACCACAUUUUUACAAGAAAUGGAUGAUGAUUUUGAUUUUCCAUCAGCUAGCAAUGCUGCUGAUGAGAUGGGGAUGGAUGAGGAAUUGGACUUGCCUGAGACCAACCCAGUAAUUAAAGUUGGGGAAGAGAAGGAAAUUGGGAAGAAUGGGUUGAAAAAGAAGCUGAUUAAUGAAGGUGAAGGCUGGGAGAAUCCCAGUUCUGGGGAUGAAGUUGAAGGUAAGGUUAUCAGCUGUUUUGGCUCAUUAAAUCCUAUUGUAGUUGAAAUUAGUCAUAUUCAUCUGCCCAUUAAUCAAUUUUUAUCUAGAUUGUUAAUGGGUUGACUUUCAUUUUGGCUUGAUUAUGCUGCAUGAUUCUCAAAGUUGGGAUCUUUAUGGUGUAUAAGACCCCAAUUGGGGUUAUUUGGACCGUUUCUGGAAAAGGGUUCUUCUUAAAGUUUGAAUGAAUUGAAGAGUUUGUCAUGUAAACUGCUUAGAAAUUAAGAUAAUUUUAUUAAGUGUGAGGAACCUCAAUCAACAGUUUGGUAUUGCUUUUGACGAAAUGGGCAUUACUUCUUGUUCUCAGUUAGGUGUUGGCUAUUUGAUGAAUGAAAUGAUUUUUUGAUUUGAGGGAGUUUCAUCCACUGUAUCAUGCUGAUAAUGUUUUUUUAUUUUAUUUUAUGGUUUAAUGUUGAUUGUGCAGUGCAUUAUGUGGGCACUCUGCUUGAUGGAACUCAAUUUGAUUCGAGCCGUGACAGGGGAACUCCAUUCAAGUUCAAGCUUGGCCAAGGUAAUGACUAGCUAAGUUCGGUUGAAGUUCAAGGAUCAGUAGUAAUUUGAAGUUUAAUAUGACAGUUGUUUAGUCUUUUCAUCCCUGCUGACAAUGCAAUUUGCCCUGUUUUAAUCAGGUCUUAGUUUGUCCAGUUUGGAUUAUUGGACAGUACAAGAAGAUAAAAGAACACUCUUACAUUUUAGGCAAUUACCAGCCUGCCAGCAAAUAUGUUGUUAACAAACAUCUGGAGUAGGUCUAUAAUUGAAAAGGCUUCUAUUUGAUUGUGGCAUUUUGAUUUUUACCUAAUGCAGGACAAGUUAUCAAAGGUUGGGAUGAGGGUAUUAAGACAAUGAAAAAGGGUGAGAAGGCCCUCUUCACCAUCCCUCCUGAGUUGGCCUAUGGGGAGUCUGGAUCACCUCCAACAAUACCUCCUAAUGCCACUCUGCAGUUUGAAGUUGAGUUGCUUUCUUGGACUAGUGUGAAAGAUAUAUGCAAAGAUGGUGGAAUAUUCAAGAAAGUACUUGUUGAAGGAGAGGGUUGGCAGAAUCCUAAAGAUCUUGAUGAAGUUUUUGGUGCGUCAAUCAUCUAUCAUUUCUGUUAUAAUUGUUUUCAUGGCUUUCAUUGGAUGACCUUGGGUUAUUAAAUUUGCUAAAUGUUCUCCUUCUCUUGCAGUCAAAUAUGAGGCACUGCUUGAGGAUGGAACUCUUAUUUCCAAAUCGGAUGGAGUUGAGUUCACUGUGAAAGAUGGUAAUAUGUUGUCCUCAUUAACCUUGUUCUUUCUCCAGUUUUCCGGGGACGCUUGUAAAAGUUUGAUCUGCUUGCAGGUUUCUUCUGUCCUGCUUUAGCAAAAGCUGUUAAAACAAUGAAGAAGGGUGAAAAAGCUCUCUUAACUGUCAAUUCACAAUGUAAGUUAGCUUUCUGCGUCCUGGAUUGGCUUGCAAUUUGUCCUUUGGGUUGCUGACUGUUGGUUAUUGCAGAUGUGUUUGGAGAGAAGGGAAGGCCUCAAGUUGGUGAUGAAAUUAGUGUUCCACCGAAUGCUUCACUUCAAAUUAAUCUUGAAUUGGUUUCAUGGAAAACUGUGUCCGAUGUUACCAAUGACAAAAAAGUGUUGAAGAAGAUCCUGAAGGAGGGAGAAGGAUAUGAGCGCCCAAAUGAUGGCACAGUUGUGAAAGGUAAACUGCAGAGCAAAAAUGUAAACUCUUUGCAGUGAUCCACCAUUGGAAUUUUCAUUCUAAAUUAUCUUUUAGUGUUUGGCAGUGAAAUUGACCGGAAAGCUGCAGGACGGAACUGUUUUUGUAAAAAAGGGACAUGAUGGAGAAGAAUUUGAGUUCAAGGUAGAUGAAGGUAAUUGGUCAUUCACCUAAUGCAACCUACAACUUAUAAGGCUCUAGCUGCCUUUAAUAUUUCAUACGGUACUAUUUUACUAUUUUUCCCUCCUAUCAGCAAACAAUAUGUGGGCAUGUAUUGUAUCCUCUUCUACUUGUUCAGUUGUGUUGAACUUACCUUUUGCUGUCUUCUGCAGAACAAGUCACUGAAGGACUUGAUAGAGCUGUAAAAACAAUGAAAAAUGGUGAAAUGGCUCUUGUAAUUGUUCAACCCGAAUAUGCUUUUGGUCCAUCUGAGUCACAACAAGAGCUGGCUGUUGUUCCUGCAGAUUCAACCCUAUACUAUGAGAUUGAGAUGGUCUCCUUUGUCAAGGUGAGUGAGCACUUUUCUCUGCACACAAAGAUGUUUGCCUUUCAAGCAUCUGGAUGAGGUUUUGACUAUUGUUACAUUUACUGCUUACCAUAGGAGAAGGAAUCUUGGGACAUGAAUGCCCAAGAGAAAAUUGAGGCUGCUGGGAAGAAAAAGGAGGAAGGGAACGUAUGGUUCAAGGCAGGAAAAUAUGCGAGAGCCUCUAAGAGAUAUGAGAAGGUGCUGCACACUUCUGCAAAAAAAUUUAAAUCUCCUGUCCAUGAUUUUUAUUUCAAAUGUCCAUAAAAGGCUUCUUUUAUUGUGCUCAGGGUGUGGGCUUCGUAGAAUAUGAUUCAUCUUUCAGCGAUGAGGAGAAGCAACAGGCUAAAUUGCUCAAGAUCAGUUGCAAUUUGAACAAUGCAGCUUGUAAACUGAAACUAAAAGACUAUAAAGAGGCAGUGAAAUUGUGCACAAAGGUCUUGGAUAUUGAUAGCAGGAACGUCAAAGCACUUUAUAGAAGGGCCCAAGCAUACAUCCAACUUGUUGAACUAGAAUUGGCAGAACAGGACAUAAAGAAAGCUCUUGAAAUUGAUCCAGAUAAUAGGUAUGAGUUCCACAGAUCUGUCGUAACGUAUUAAAAUGAACAUUUUUGUAAAAAAUUCAUUUUCUUCGAUCUAAAUAUGAUUUAUAUACUAUAUGUCAAACUUGAACCAGUAUGUUAUUCUUUCAUGGCAUAUAUAUCUGAGAUUAGCCUAAAAUAUCGGUAGAUACAGAAGGAAGCAAAAUGGCAAGAAAAUACAUGUAGUUAUGAUCAGCUUAAAAACAUGUUUUAUGUUCUGUGUUUUACUAUUCGUUUCUAAUGCCUUGCAUGAUUGGGAACGUGGAUGGCCAGGGAUGUAAAAAUGGAGUACAAAAUCCUGAAGGACAAAGUGAAGGAAUACAACCGGAAGGAUGCACAGUUCUAUGGUAGUAUAUUUGCCAAGAUGAGUAAACUGGAGCAACAAAAUUCUAGUGUGAGUCAUUGAGUUACCGAUAAGGUUUUCUUUUAAUUCGUUGGAAUGUAAUCUUAUAGUGGUAAAAUAAUCAUGUUCUAACUACUUGUUGCUAAUCUAAUGAAUGCGUUGUUGAAAUGCAGAGUGCAGAAAAAAAAGAGGCAAUGCCAAUGGCCAUUGAUAGUAAGGCCUAAAAGUUCAUCUCUAGUAAUAUCUUCUCUUUUGUUCUCUUCUCUAAAAUGUGCAAGCAUCGAGUCUGUACUUAGAUAUAGCAUACCUUGUGUCAUCAUAGAGAGUAAUAAAAAGAGUUGUCUGUCUCUGAGGUGUCGAGUGAGUCCCUUGUACUAGAAAAUUGGUAUAUCAUUCGUGUCGAAGCAUGUUUGUUAUGCUUAAUCAAGUGACCAUGGCAAAUCUCUCUCUCUCUCUCUCUCUCUCCAGCAUAUUCUAUCUUCACAGCACCUCUGAAACUUACCACUUUUGUUUAGUUUACUGAAAGACUAUAAUGACUAUGAAGCAGCAAGAUAAAAAGCACCUAUAACGAUGGUGCUUCAACAUAUGUCAUAUAUUGUAUCCUUCUGUAUAUUGAAAUGCAUGUGUAAAAUGUAUUUGAUUGCCAAUCUCUUCAGUGCCUAUAUUGACUUGAGAUAAAAUUUUGUUCCAUAAAGGGGCAGUACAUUUAAGGGCAGUAUCCAGCGUCAGCGCAAAAACAAGGGAUUGCUGGUCUGCUAUGAUAACUGCAGUAAAGGCAGGCCUUAGGAGCAUUUCUACCCGGCUAAAUGCCCCUGUCAAGAGCAAAACAUCAUAACAAGGAGCAUAAUCUCAGGUUUAGCUGAAAUGUCUAGUAAUGCUUGUUUGUAAGGUCAUACAAUUGAAUGCUUUCUGUAAGACCAUAAGGUAACUGUUGUAAGCUUGAAAACAAUUUCUGUAAAAUAUCAGAUGAAUCUGAAAGGACGAUGUGUAACAAAAUGGGACACUAUGCCUCCCUGCUAAUCAGGGAGCAGAAUGACAAGCUCAGACUUGUAGAACUAUGCUUUUAACUGUAAUAAAUACAACCAGUUUUACAAACAUUAUGGAUGUACUAUUUUGGUGCUCAGAGCAAAAAAGUACUUGUACUAUAAGAUUCUAAUCUGUUAAAUCUUCUCUUAUCAGAUAGAUUGCCUCAAUACAACACUAACACAAGAAACUCCGACAGAACAACUGAAGCCUCAAACUGCUAUGGUUUAUCCUAGAACUUUAAGCAGGCAUUGUCUCCGGAAAGUUGUCAUCACCAAACUUCCACAAAAUCCCAAUGCAUAUCCCAAUCCUGUUAAAAAGAAGAGCCAAAAUUUUUCAUGCAUUUUUUCGUUCUUGUCAUCAUCAAUCUGUCCUUUCCCAUUGCUGUUUUGGCCAGUGAGGAUCUGACAUUUUGUAGGCAAUGGUUCCCCACAAAGUCCAGGAUUACCACCAUAAAUAGAGGGAUCUUGAAAUGUAAGGAACUGGUUGGUUGAUGGAAUUGGUCCAGAUAAGUUGUUAUGAGACAAAUUCAAAAAGUUUAAUGAGGUCAUGUGAGACAUGGCAGGAGGAAUACUACCAGAGAGAGAGUUCCAUGAGAGGUCAAGAGUUUCCAACAGGCUUAAACUGCCAAUCUUUUUCGGUAUCUUCCCUGUGAACUGGUUUCUAGAUAAAUUUAAGGUUCCCAGAGCUAAGAGAUUGCUUACCUCUUCUGGAAUGUCUCCUUGCAAAUGAUUGCUUGAAAGAUCAAUAAUGUUCACAAGCUUAAGUGUUUUUGUGUACGCCAUUGCUCUCCCUUUCACAACCAAUUCUACUUGAGGUACAAAUGCAUAAGGUACAUCUGGUGGUACUUUGUGGUACAACAUCACAUCAUGGAAGCCACUCAAAUUGCCCAAACAGAUAGGAAGAUGUCCUGAUAAAUCAUUGUCUGCAAAGUCCAAGACAUGUAGCAUCUGAAGACUGCACAACUCCUGAGGUAUGCUGCCUAUGAACUUAUUGUUUCGCAACCUUAGCACUGUGAGUGAGGUUAGCCUUUCUCCAAUCCAUCUUGGUAUUUUCCCGGAAAAUCUAUUGUCUCCAAGAUCAAGCAGACUCAAGUAUGUAGAGUUUAUUGUUGUUCCGAAUGGGAGUUCUCCGGAAAGAUUGUUCCCAUUCAAUUUCAACCAGAGAAUGUAAGUUGGUAAAAACAUUGAACUAGGAAGAUUGCCUGAAAGGUUAUUCAUUGACAGAUCAAUAAUUAAGAGAGCUUGUGAGUUCCCCCAGUUAUCAUGGAUUUCUCCAGAAAAUUUGUUGUUUGACAAAUACAGCUCAGUCAAAUACUUCAUCUUCCCCAUGGAGAAGGGUAUCUCACCAUUCAUAAAGUUACCUGACAGAUUAAGGUAAGUCAUGUAUGGCAUUUGUUCACCAAUGCUCUCCGGGAUCGAUCCUGAUAUCGAAUUGUUGGCCAAACUCAGAUAUGACACAUUGCUCCAUAAAGGAAGAGGGCCUUCGAACCGAUUUGAGCUGAAGUCCACCCAUGCACCCCUUGGAAAUUCCAGUGAUUUCGGGAGCACUCCAGCUAUCCGGUUAUCAGAGAUAUCUAACCUGAUAAUUUGAGGGGUUAAUUCCCAAAACCAAUUCGGUACAGUUUCUGAGAGGCCUACCCCUUGAAGAUAGAGUGUGGACAGUUGCUUUUGAGUCAUCAGCCAGGUUGGGAAUCUAUCACCAAUUUGGUAAUUGGUGAUUCUCAUGAAUUUUAGAUUGAAAGGAGGAAUCCAGUCGUUGCUCACAUUUAAGAAAAGCUGUUUGCUUGAAGAUGAUAGAGCCAGAGUUUCCAAAUUAUUUAGCCUGUGAAAAUGUUUCUGGGAUAGAGAACCUUCUCUGGAAUCCUGAAAGAGAUACAAGCGCUUUAAUCCUGUUAACUCUCCAAUGCUUUCUGAAAUCGAACCAUUUAUCGGAUUGUAACUGAGGUCCAAUACCUCCAAGCUCCUCAAACUUCCUAUUGAUGCCGGAAUAGAGCCUGAGAUCAAGUUGUUUGAAAGGUAAAAGUACCUCAGUUCCUUGAAGAUUUGUAAAUGAUCUGGUAGCUGUCCACUUAGUUUAUUAUAAUGUAAAUAGAGUGCCUCUAAGCUACCAUUGCUGGGAGAUAGGCCAGCAAAUAGUUUGCUUACAUCGCCUUCAACGUUGUUGUAUGAUAGAUCAAUCUCAGAAAAGGUAGUGAGAUUAGAGAACCACUGAGGUAUGGUGGAGUCUAUGUCAUUGAAGUACAGGUUCAGGACAGACAGGGAAGUGAAAUUCAAAGUGGAUAGAGUUUGGGGAAUGUUGCGAAGCUCACAGGAUUCUAGUCUCAAUUCUGAAAGAGAAGGAAGCAUGUUAACAGCUUGAAGCCAGUGAUCAGAUGCCAAACUAAGGUUGACAUAUCCCAUGUUGAGGUGUUUCAAAGAAGAAAGACCUUGGAGCCAGUGCAAAUCAGACACAAGUGCUCUCAGAUCAUACAAAUCAAGAUACUGCAGGUUUGACAGGUUUCCAAGAUGGGAAGGAACUAGUCCCUCAAAAGAUGCAUAAGAGAGAUUGAGGUAACUCAAUUCCUCAAACGAGCCUAAAAAUUCUGGAAUAAGGCUCCCCUGGAAAUUAUUCAUGCUCAAGUCCAAGUAGUUUAAAUGCUGCAACUUAAGCAAAGAAGGACUAAUCUUACCACCCAAGCACGAAGAAUUUUCAGUGAGGAUAGCAGUUUCACCUUCUUCAUAACACUCACCAUUUCUAAGUUCAAGCCUUACUACAUUACCUGUUUUGUUGUUGCAGGUUACACCAGGCCAUGCACAACAGUCUUCACCAGUCCAGGAUGCAAGCCGAUUUGAAGGAUCUAUUAGAGCUUCUUUAAAAGUGAUGAUUGCUUCCCUUUCAACUGGGAUGCAUCCAGUAGUUGCAUGGUGUUGAAGGCUAGUUACCAUAGGCAAUAACGAGAGGACAAGAGAGAGAAUUUGGACCAAAAUGCUUGUCAUCCUUCUUUGCUGGUUAUUGAUGGUUCUACAAAUUUUCUGAAUGCAAACGUGCCAAGAAAAUUUCACCAUCUCAUCUUCAGGUAAAGAGGAAGACUUAAACCUCAAGAAGCACUAAAGUCAUAACAAUAAUUUGAGAGCACAAGAAAAUCUGCUGUAUUAGACCAUAGCAGUGUUUUUUGAAUGCAGUUUUUUGACUUGCAAGAAGACAAAAAAAAAAAAGAAUUCAAUGAUGACCCAAUAACUUGGAAAUUGGAAUGCUAAACAAUUUGACCAAGUCAAUAAUAGAUAGCAACAUAACAUUCAGAACUUCACAUUGCGGGAAUGCAAAUCCUUAACGCAAAAGAAAGCGCGUACGUCCCUUCUAAACAUUACAUCCUGACCAUGGCGAUAAAUGAAUUGAAUCGAACCGAGUUUUGACUUAAUUGAGUCAAACUUUGAUUCAAUUUUACCGAACUCAACUUCGAUGAAUUCUCAGCAUAAACCUCGUCGAGCACGAACUUAUGUUUAAAAAAAUUUAUUUUUUUUAAAAAUAAAUAAAAUAGUAAUUUUUUCUUAAUAAAUAAUAAAAUAUUAAAAAUAUAUACGUAAUUUCACUAAAUAUAUACACACACACAUAAUUUAAUCGAUUCGCGAAUUAAUAAGUUGAAUUUAUCUAUGUUUGAACUCGACUUGGCCUCAAUGUUGACCGAAUUUCAAUCGGAUUUUAACUGAGUCGGCUCACGGGUACUCACGAGCGACUUGAUUCGUUUGCUGCCAAUUUAACCCACUUUCACUGCCUUGCUUUUGGUUUGAAAAAACAAAAGAACAAAAUUGGGCUUUGGGAUCGUAAUUGCGUGAUGAAACAGAACACUUGGUUCUACUGUGUAAAUUUCCAGCAUAGUUUAGAUUUGAAAUUCAAUUAAUUAUAGUCCCGAAUGCCUGAGUUCAUAAUUUAUGCCAAUAGUCCAAUUUUUACUCUCUAUUUAAUCCAAAGUUCACAAUUAUAAUCCAAUAUAACAGUAGUUCACAAUUUAAUUAUAAUCCAAAGCUGUAUCUCUUAUUUUACUUUCUAUUUACAAUUUUUUUCAAUAAUGUAUACUAAUAUCUGUCAAAUGCCCACAACGCGUGAGAUUUGGAUGGGAUAAAUCCUACUUCAACAAACUGGAAGCCAUAAUUGUGCACUUUCAUUAGACCUCAAGAAAAUUACUUCAAAGCUGGAGUUAAGCAUUAAUAUGAGAGCAGUAUCAUAUUUCCUUUACAUCUGGAAGUCUAAACCACAAAGACAAGAAAGUCGAACAGGAAAUAGAAAAAUCAUUUCCAAAAGAUGGUUAUUCCUAAUUGCAAUUUUAAUUGCAAUAAUGCACUCUUAUACUAUUAAUAAACCACACCACUCGAAUAAUUGUAACCCGAACAAUCUCUAGGAUGAUAACCAGAAGUACAUCCUCUGAAAAUUAUGAAUUAUUUAAGCAAACAGGACCAAGAAACAAUAGCCCACAUGAAGAACUAAAUCCUGUCACGUCUCACUUUUCUUUUUCCUGGAGAAGGGACCUAAAUUGUUAUAUGCCAAAAUGUCCUAAAUUGUUAUAUGCCAAAAUGUUGUAUUACAUAACUGGUAUCUACAAAUGAAUAAAUAUCGGCUACCCCGUCCUUCAACAGCCCUCCAUGCAUUAUAUCUACCUUGUAUAUAAGAAAAAAAGCCAAUUUACUGUAGCAACCCAUCUUUUUGACACAUGUACUGUCUAUUUUUUGACAAGUGGCAGUUUUCAUUUUUAGUUGAAUUUUUGCUCCUCUAUUUUCUUUGGUUAAUCAAAAUUCAUAAACAUCGCCUCCUAAUUCUUCUCUUCUUCCUCUUUCCACCUCUACCUUCAAUCCUUAUCUCUCUCUUUUUUGUUCAUCUCUCCUUUUUCCUCUUCAAAUUUUUUCUUUAUAAUUAAUUAUACUGGGAUUAUUUUCUUAUUUUUUUUAGGUGAUUAUUGUUAACUACAGAGAGGUAUCACAACUAGGGCUAUUCACGAAUCGCUCGCGAGCUGCUCAAAUAUGAGCUCGACUCAAACUCAGUCAAUAUCGAGUUCGAGGUCAAAAAUAUUAAACUCGUUGGUUCGUGAACGCAAGCUCAAUUAUAUUUUUUAUUUUUUUAUUUUAAUAGUAAAAUUACAUAUAUAUCCCUAAUAUUUUAUUAUUUGUUAAAAAAUUAUUAUUUUAUUCAUUUUUAAAAAUAUAAUAAUAAUUUUUUUUUAAAUUUUUGCUCGAGCUUGAGCUUGACAUUUUGAGCUCGUCGAACUCGAGCUCGAGUUCGAGUUUCAUAAAAUUAACUAGAGGCUCGGCUCGAUUAGGUCAAAACUCGACUUGACUCGACUCGUUUGCACCCCUAAUCGUAACAAUCAACUAAUUUAUACUGUCACUUCUUCUUCUACCAAUUUUAACUCUUUAAUCCAGUAUUUUGCUUUUCCCUUUUUUUCCCCUCCAUCCUAAUUUUUCUUUGCAUUUCCUCCUUCCACUCAGUCGAUGCCUCUUUUCCUUUUUCCUCUAGAAUUAAUUGAAUGUAUUUUUUUCUUGUACGAGAAUGGAUGUUUCUUUUCUUUCUUUGUUCAAAAAUCAUAAUUCAUAAUCAGCUCUAUUUUUCUAAGAGAAACAUAGGCAAGAUCUUUUACCAUUACUACUCCUACUGUUUGGUAUGUUCCAUUUUUUUUCCUAUUUUUUCCCAUUUCACACUGCCAAAUAUGGAUUUAAGUUUUUUUCAUUAAUUGUAUUUUAUUUAGCUUUUAUCAUUUUUCUUUUUUUUUUUGCCUCUUUAUCAUGUUAUCAUGGUGUAUUUUUUUUUUAAAUUUUAGUUUGAUCUCCUUGAUAUUCAUCAACCUUCCAUUAUUUUAGUUCUGCAAGUCGAUUCUCCUUUUGUGAGGUUUGUUUUAAAUCUAAAUGCAAAAUUUGUAUUUUGCAAUUAUGAUGCUAUAGUUCCUUUUCAAUGUAUAAUUGAAUCUUGCACUCUUUUAUUAAUUCUUUGGUACUAAAUUUUUGUACCCUUUUAUGCAUUGAAAAGCCUUCUGUUAAAAUUUCUUGGUAAGUUUUGUUGUGAAUUUGUAAGAUAGAAGUUUUUACAUGAUGAUGUUUUAUUUGAGAACAAAAUAGUGGUGAAAUUUUAUGUAUUUGUAAUUAUAAUAGCAUGAUAUUUGAGCCUUAUGAAACAAAUAUCACUUAUGUUAACAUUGAAUUGGUUUUGCAUUUCUCAAUUCUCAUGUAUUUGAUUUUUGAAUUCUUUGUUGUUGUUUGUCCAUAUAAUACAACAAGAUAUUGUCUAUACAAUACAACAAGAUAAAUCUCUACUGAAUCACGAUAAGCAAGUUGAAACAAACUUUUGAAACAUUCCACUAAAAACAAAUUUUUUUUAUUUUUUAGACUCAUUUUUUGGUAAUUAUAAUUGCUCUUUAUUUGAAAGCAAAUUAUAAUGUGAUGAAUUUUAGUUAGAAUUUUAUAGGUGGGCCUAGGCUGUGCUUGAAGCACAGCCUGGUUCCUUCUAGUGUUUCCAAACUCAAAAACGAAUAGCUUCUAACACGUGUGACACGAGAACGCACUGAUUUCUAUAAGCUCAAGAGUUGACAGCUCGUUAGCCAAAAGUAAAAGAUUCAACUAAUACUAGGCCUUUGGCGCUAAUUGCCUCUUCAUAUGACAACCUUAAUUGAUUUUUUUCAAUGGAAUCUCUAUUCACAUCGAAUCCCCUCUCCUUCCCCUAGAUUAGGUUUAGAUUAGGUUAUAUGAAUUCUAUCGUUGCGACAAAAAAAAAAACUAGAUUAUUGUGCAUGAGAUUUUGCAGAACCAUGUACCCUCAACAAAAAUUUAACAGCAAAUCGCAACUUCAGUACACAUAGUUUAGGUUCUAGCCAGUCGAAUAUCAAAACUUUUCAGUACAAUAUUUGGUUACAUAUGGCGCACAAGUACUGGAAGAAAAAGCAAGAGAAUGAUGCCAUCAAAAGCGUCUAAAGCUACUACUGCAUCUGAUCCAGCAAAGAGCUCAGGUGUAUCAGCAGCUUAGGCAGCACCAGUACUCUUACUCUUCUUCCUCUGGAUCUUCUUCAUAUAAAAUUCCAGUUCCUUUCCUUCCAAGAU
rnacentral:lncRNA from 1 species